rnacentral:lncRNA from 1 species
GGUGCAAAUGUCUCCAUGCGCGGUCGCGUAGCUUGACUCGGAGUAUGAGUCCAAUAUGGGUGCCGUCUUCAUGUUGUUGAAGAGGUUCUCGCUCGUCGUCGUGGUCGAAGGGGAUGGCCCUUGCUCGACCGUCUUGUCACCGUCUUGGUGUGGGAGGCCCAUAUGAUGUGGCACCUCGUAGCUCGUCUCCAUGACCGAAGGGAGUGUCCCAUGCUCGGCCAUCUUCCUUUGGGGGCUUCCGAAGAUGGAAGUGGCACCCUCGCUUGUAGGUGGUCGCCUUGGACUUGAUGAAGUCGUUGUAGGUGUACUUGUUGGAAGUAGGCGAAGAUGUCGUACGUCCAAAGGCGAAGAUGCCUUGAUAGCACUUGGCGAAGAUGCCAAAGUGGUUGUUGCAGCCGUAGCACCGUCUUGGUGGUGGUCGUCUCGCGGUCUUCUCUUGUGCUUAUGAAGCUUGGACUUGGCGUGAAGUAGGGCUUGUUGGGACUUGUGCACUUGCGCUUGUGGAGCAUCUUCAUGAUGAUGAUGUCAUUGUCGUGCUUGAGCUCGUUGGCGUUCGUCGUCGUCGUGCACAUGAUGCUUGGAGGUGACUUGCCCUUCAUGACGAUGUUGAUCACGAACGUGAUGGUGGUCGCCAUGUAGAUGUUGACUUGGACGACUUGCACUUGCAUCUUGUUUGCGCUCCGAAGACUUGUGGCUUGAAUGUCGCCGCCUUGAAGAUGAUGAAGGGGAAGUAGACUUGAUCAAGGCUCUAAUCUCCUCCAUCCUUGCAUCUUGCUCCUCUUUAUGUGCGGCAAGCUUCUUCUCGAUGUGCUCUCGCAAUCUUGAUUGUGCGCCUUGCACUUGUCGUUGUAGAUCGAAGAUAGACGCUUUGGUGAUGUAGUUGUUCACGCCAUCGUUGUUGUCGAGGACCGGAGAGGAAAUGCCUUGCCUAUCCAUCACAAAACUCUAGCAAAUAUGUGUGGGAGAAAGAGAAGAACUUAUACCAAUGUACCUUGACCGAUGUUGACAAUGAAUCAAGUUCACUCAAAUGCGGACAAUGAAAUAGCACUAUUGGUACCAAUCCUUGUCGGUUCUCACACCUACACAAGUAAAGCUUAUGGAGGAGCUCGGUGAGGAUAGGGGCACAAAAAUUUAAUGCAAAAUAUUAGCAAGAGUCAAUAAUGUUGAAAGAGAUUCACAAAUUCGCAAGCGAAACAAGUAGACCAAUAGCAAUAUGUGGCACACGGAAACACACACACACAGAUAGAUAAAUGGGGUCAUGGAACCAAGGAAUGAUCACAAAAUGUGGAAUCCACGGAAGACGCUCGUGUUGCACAACUCAAGAGAGACGCUAGCACGAUUGCUCAAUAGGCGGAUACGGCACUUGUGCACAACCUAUAAGAUGCAAAAUGGAUAAACUUUCUAUCCCAAGUAUGCUAUGUAUGUAUGGUUCCCGGUGUUUCUCUCAAGAUGAUCCAAGAUGAUCGGAUAUGACAAUCUUAUAUGCAAUGUGGUAUGAUGCUAUGGCACUUGCAUACAAGCUUCUUUGCUCUCUUUCUUUUGCUUAAAAGCUUAUUCUCUUUUUCUUUUAUAUGGCCACUUUUGCAAAAUGCACAAACCAAGAUAGCAAUUCUGUAUAUGCGGGAACAAACUUGUGACACAAGAUAUGAUACCAAUAUAUGCACCACAAUGGUAUGGUAUGUAUGCAUUGGGAAGUAUGAUCACUAAUGUGCACAAGUAACGUUGCCGGCAAUACUCAAAUGGCUAGUCUCGAUAGGCAAGUAACACAAAAUGGGCUAGGGGUUAACAAUGCAAUUGCAAGGGAAUAUACAAUGGUGUCGUCGAGGUUACCGUCCUUUGCGAUGAUGAGUGGCGGUGUUCUUGAUGUAGAUACUAAGAUGAUGGAGACUCGUCCCUAAGUAGCCGAAACACCUUAGGAAACGGAAAAACCGCGAACUCAAAAUCUCAAAUGACAAAUGUCAAAUGGUGGUAGCGGAGAGCGGUGGUGGUUUGCACUUGGCAAUGUGGAAAUGGGAUGAUGGGUUAUGCGAGUCAAUGCUGAAGUUGCCGUCCCUAAGUAGCCGAAACACCUUAGGAGACACAAGCCACGACUCAGACAAGCUCAAACAACUAUUGGGUUAAGUUGGGGGUGGAAAUGUAUGGUGGGUAAGCCUAUGCGGAAGUGGUGGUGGUGGUUGAUGAAGAAGCAAUUGUCCCUAAGUAGCCGAAACACCUUAGGAGACUCAAAUCACUACUCAAGCAACCACUAAUGCUAUGGAUCACAAUGGGUUAGGUUGUGGAAGUCGGUGGUGGUGUAGCGGAUGAUAUGGUGGAGGGCCUAGGCACACUUGCCAAAUUUUGGAAACUUUGAUGGAGUCAAAUGAUGUUGGUUGUAUUUUUGUGGGAAGGGGGAUGUCAAUAGCUUCAAAACGAGCUAAAGAACGUCAAAAUCGGAGUUCGAAUGAAUUAGUUAUGGCCGAAACAAGAAUCAGCCGAAGUCAAAACCUACAGGUUACGGACGUCCGUAAAGGUCGGAUGUCCGGAGCGUCGGACGUCCGGAAAAGUCGGAAAUCCGUAAAUUCGGUUCGGGUUAGGGGUUCCGGUCGUCCGGAAAAGGUCGGACGUCCGGUCGUUCCUGGGGCUUCGGACGUCCGUGAAACUCCGGUCGUCCGGUGGGUCGGGGUCAACGCGAGAUGCGAUUUUGGGGGCGCGAUUUUGGGCGGAAAAUGGAGAUUUUGGGGUCAAAAUUGAUGAGAUUUCGUGGAUGAAAGAUGGGGAAACUUGGGGAGAUGCUAGAUCCACUUGAAACCAAGCAAAUCGAUGGAUCAAAAUCAACAAAACAUCAUCAAACCAACAAAUCAAAAAAAAAUUGGGGCUAUUUUUGGUGGGGAUUUUCGGAUUUAGGGAAGAACACAACAAAAUCAAGCUAGAAAAAGAGGGGUAGGGGCUCCAAAAACGUGAUCAACGUGGCUCAUGAUACCAUAUGAUGUAGGGUGGAACCCUAUGUGGACGAUCUUUCAUGUUUGGAGUGGAUCCUAUGGGAAAACACGAAGAACGCGCGGAAGAACACGAGGAAAUCACGGGGAGGAACGAGGGAAAACACUCAACCAACAAGGAAUCGGUCACACAAGUGCUAGAUCAAAGAACACAAAGAGAUACACGAGAUCCAAAGUCAACAAAGGUAAGGAUACAUAGGUAACCGAUCUUCUCCGUGAGGAGGCCUUGAAAUCCAUGAGGGAAUCUUCCCACGAGGUGGUCUUGAAUCCGAUAGGAUCUUCUCCGAGGAGGCCGCGGUCUCUCACAAGGAGGAGAUCCGGUGGAUGAGCGAAGCUCUAUCUCUAAUUGAGCUAAUUCAACGCUAAAUCUAACUAGGAGGAGGUGGGGGAGUAUAUAUAGUCUAGGGCCACGAAGCAGUACAUGGGCUGCGGCCCAACACAUGACAGCGCACAGGCGUCGGACGUCCGGAGGGUUCCGGUCGUCCGGAGGCUCGAGAAGGUCUGGACGUCCGGUCGUCUCCGGACUUCCGCUAAUUCGGCUCGGGUGUGAUGGUGCCGGUCAUCCGGAGGUGCUCGGUCGUCCGGGUCCUGGGAUGUGUCGGAUGUCCGGUAGUUGCCGGUCGUCCGGCCGCUGUAGCUUCUGUCGGCUGGCCCUUCUGGCUGGCUGAGUGCCCAGGCGUCGGACGUCCGGCGUUGUCCGGUCGUCCGGAAGCUGAAGACUACGAGCAGCUUCUUCUCUUGGUCCUUGUACUUGGUGUCCUCGCCGUUUUGUCCAAUGCUCGUAGUUGUUCCAUGGCCUUCGUCUUGGUUCCUGGACAUGCAUAGCACACACGUUUGAGGUAGUAGGCAUGUCUCACAUGUGGAAAGUGACGAUCCGGAGAGGAGCGAGUUCACCUUGUGUCCAAUGGCGCAUAGAUGAGGCCUCGUCAUAAGUCCACUUGGGGUUUGGAGAGUAGUCGGAGUGUACAUGGGGAUGAACGUGGGAUGCUCCGCAUCACUAGGCCCACUCAAUUUUUCAGAAAAAUAUGCAACAGGUUUGCCAUCUUGUAAUAACACACCUCCUAAUCCAAUUCCACUAGCAUCACAUUCAAGCUCAAAAGUCUUAUUAAAAUCAGGAAGUUGGAGUAAAGGAGCAUGUAUCAACUUAUCUUUCAAUACCGUGAAGGCUUCUUCCUGUGCGGUACCCCAAAGAAAAGGCACAUCUUUCUUUGUAAGAUCAUUGAGAGGUGCAGCAAUGGUGCUGAAAUCUCUCACAAAACGCCUAUAGAAUCCAGCGAGGCCAAGAAAACUCCUCACUUGUGUGACCGUUUUGGGCUGCGACCAACUCUCAAUAGCGUCAAUCUUGGCUUUAUCAACUUCAAUUCCCUGUGGAGUAACAACAUAGCCAGGAAAAAAUACUCGGUCGGUGCAAAAGGUGCACUUCCCGAGGUUACGAAACAAACGUGCAUCACGCAUAGCAAUAAAAACAGCACGUAAAUGUUCCAGAUGUUCUUCCAAAGAUCUGCUAUAAAUCAAUAUGUCUUCAAAGUAAACUACCACAAAUUGUCCAAUGAAAGCACGUAAAACUUCGUUCAUUAAUCUCUUGAAAGUACUAGGUGCAUUAGUUAACCCAAAAGGCAUGACUAACCACUCAUAUAAUCCAAACUUAGUUUUAAAUGCUGUUUUCCAUUCAUCUCCCAAUUUCAUACGAAUUUGAUGGUAUCCACUACGCAAAUCAACUUUGGAGAAUAUGGUAGAGACACUCAAUUCAUCAAGCAUAUCAUCUAGCCUAGAAAAAUAGUAAUAUUAUUAAUGCCUCUACAAUCAACACACAUACGUGGUGUACCAUCCUUUUUGGCACUAGAAUAAUAGGAACAGCAAAAGGACUAAGGGAUUCGCGUAUAUAACCUUUGUCGAGAAGCUCUUGUACUUCACGCAUAAUCUCCUUCGUCUCCUCUAGAUUGGUACGGUAUGGCGCACUGUUUGGCAGUGAAGCAUCGGGAAUUAAGUCAAUCUGAUGCUCAAUCCCUCGAAUAGGCGGUAAUCCUGGUGGCACGUCUUGUGGAAAGACGUCAGCGAACUCCUGCAAAAUGUUAGUGACAGCAGGAGGCAAAGAGGAAGGCACGUCCUCGAAUGAAAAUAAUGCCUCUUUGCACACAAAAGAAGAGCAAACUGAUUUUCUGAAAUCUAGCUCAUCAAUAUCAGAUUUGGUGGCAAAUAAACACACACUUUUCAAUUUAAUUUCAGAAGCAACACUAGAUGGUUUAUUAUUAGGCUUCAUUUGUUGCUCAAAUUCUGUUGCCACAAUAUGAUUUUCACUCUUAUUCUUCUCCUGUUUUGCUUUAUUAGCUCUAUUAAUAUCAUCUUUCAAAAUAGAAUCAGGAGUCAUAGGAAGCACAGUAAUAUUUUUAUUCUUAUGAACAAGAGUAUACUGAUUGUUUCUACCAUGGUGUACAGAAUUUUUAUCAAAUUGCCAUGGUCUACCAAGUAAUAAGGAACAUGCUUGCAUAGGUACCACAUCACAAUCAACAUAAUCAGCAUAUGUAGAGAUACUAAAAUGCACACGAACAGUACGUGUUACCUUAACCUUGCCACUGUUGUUGAACCAUUGGAUGUAGUAAGGAUGUGGAUGUGGUCUUGUGGUGAGAGAAAGCUUCUCCACCAUCUCCAUGCUAGCCAAGUUGUUGCAGCUCCCUCCGUCUAAGAUGACGCGCACAGAACGUUCCUUCACAACUCCCUUGGUAUGGAACAAAUUGUGCGUCUGAUUUUGCUCAGCUUGUGUGACCUACACACUCAAAACACGUUGAGCAACUAAACAUUCAUACCUGUCAGCGUCUUCAGGAGCCAUGUAUUGCGUCUCAUGAUCAAAAUCAUAUCCACCAUGUUCUUCACUUGUAAUAAGGGCCAAAGUCUCCUCAUCAUAGUCACUAGCGGACUCAUACCCACCAUCCUCGGUAGCAAUCAUCACACUCUGGGAUUUGCAUUCUCUCGCAUAAUGACAUCUUCCCUUACAACGACGACUAAUAAUAUCACUUGUGUCCCCUGUUGAUGCCAUGGAAGAAGAACAAGUUUGUACAGGCCCGGCAGGUGCGCUCUUGGCAGAUAAUGGUGGUUGUGCCUGUUUUCUUGUAUCACGGCUAGAGGAGGCACCUGAUUGAGGUGCUGGUGCAGUUGAAGUAGAAGAUGCACGCGGUGUCCAUGAUGAAGGUCGGCCUACAGAAAAGUUAGUUCGCGCCAAUGCUUGUCGAUCCUGCACUUCAAGUUCAGCUUUACAAGCAAGAUGGAAUAAACGAGUGAUAUUAGUAUACUCCUUAUACUCUAGAAUGGUCUGAAUCUAUCUAUUUAAUCCACCUAGAAAACGAGCAAGCAUAGCUUCAUUCUCCUCAACAAUACCACAUCUAAUCAUGCCAGUAUGUAAUUCCUGAUAAUAUUCUUCUACAGAAUUUUUACCUUGUCUUAAACGCUGCAAUUUUUGAAGCAAUUCACGUUGAUAAUAUGGUGGAACCCAACGCGUACGCAUAGCAGUUUUCAAAGCAGCCCAAGUAGUUGGAAUAGGAUAUAAUAUACAAUGUUCAGACCACCAUACACAUGCAAAACUAGUGAAAGCACAAACAGCAGCAGCAACCCGUCUCUCCUCGGGAUAUUGUAAACAUGUAAAUCGUUGUUCAAUUUCUAACUCCCAAGUAAGAUAUAUAUCAGGAACAUAUCUACCCUCAAAUGGUGGAAUAUUCAAUUUCAGUUUAGGAAUAUGGACAUCAUCUCGUACUUGAGGUGGUAGUGCAGGCCUACCGUUGCGAACAUAUACCUGAGGUCGACCUGGUGGUGGUGGUGCUGGUGGCUACACGUAGUUCUGAUUUUGAUCAACCUCAUCCUCGUAAUCGCCCGCAUACUCAUCAUCCUCCGCAUCAGCAGCAGGAGACACAGAAGUAUCAACAGCAGCACCAACAGUUUGGCCAGGCCGAAGGAGUACACGGCUCGCUCGGCGGAGGGCUGUUUCGCGACCUGGAGGUAAUUGUUGUUGUUGUUGUUGUUGUUGCAGAGGUGCGGCAGGUGCAGCCGGUGGUGGAAGACGCGCAAGCAGUUCAUUAAAUCUGUUAUCGAGCUUUGUUUCGAACGUCUUCUCAAGGCCAGUGAUCUUCUCCAUGGCCUCUUCAAAAUUGUUCAGCAUAUCUUGCACCUGUUCAGUCAUCAUUUGCUGAAACUUAUCAUGAAGCUCCUUGUUCGAUAAGUUCUCCCAGUCAAUCUCGUCGUCUUAUGAUCCUGGCAUGGUUAGUAGCAAUAGAAACACACAAGAAUAUGAUCCUACAGACUACGAACAAGUGGUGGUGUUGGGUGUCACAAAUCCGUCAAGCAAAACUCAAAUUCUUACCAGUUCUUACCCAGUAGCAGGCGGUGAUCGGCAACCGUUGUAGUAAAAACUCUCAAAGCUUGGAUAGAGCGAUUACCAGGGAGAGUCAAACGCACGACGUAGAUGUAUGCGGAGCUGGGAAGGCUUAUAAUAUGGUAGCAAAAGGGGUCAACAAUAAUCAAUUUAGAGAUGCAAAGUUGAAUAAACGCUCAACAACGGUACUGUGCUGGUCCUAGGCUAGACCGCGCUAGAGACGCGAGCCUAGAACACUAACAAAAUCACGGCGCUACACGUAAACAAGGGAAAAGCACACUCUGGAAAUGGGUCACUAUAAUGGCGAGUGUCUCAAAACUCUUCCCAGGUCAAACUGACAGGAUGGGCACGAAAUUUUUUCGACUGCCCGGACCCAAAAAACUGGAAACGGGUCAAAAAAACUUUCUAUAAUAGUGACUGUCUCAAUACGCUUAGAAACACCUAAAAAUAGGAUAGCCAGAAUUUUUUUUGUCUAGUGCGUUUUUGGAAAAUUUUGGGCCUAAACGGAGGGUGGUUUCCGGACUCUUUUUUUUCUGAAACCUACUCAGGCAAGGAAACACGAAUCGGAAAUUAGAUGGAGCUCGAAAACAAACCUAAUAUGCAAUGAACUCGGAUUGGUGGUGGAUAUAUGGUGGUGGUAUAUGGCAGCAGUGGUGGUAUAUGGCAGCGGUGGUAGUAUAUGGAUAUGGAUCGGUGGUGGUAUAUGGAUACGGAUUGGUGGUGGUAUAUGGAUACAGAUUCAGAGCGGUGGUGGUAGAUGACAGGGGCGAUGAUGAUGGUGCGGUGGCGGCGUGACAACUUAUGACCAGAACUCAAACUCUAAAAGACGAACGCUAAGACCAGUAACUAGACACGACGAUGCAACCACAAAUUCAACAAAGCAAAACCCUAAAAACACUAUGCAAAGGCUCAGAUUGGUUCAGAUAUGAUGAACUAACCCUAAUUUUUUUGGCUUUUUCGUGCACUGUAGGUAUGAAGAACAUACUCGAUCUAAACUAGGAAAAACUGUAAAAUGUCACCGAGCAACCUGGAAAUCUGAUACCAGUUGAUAGAGGCAAAGGUGUCCCAUCUUUCGAUGAGAUGAUGGAUAUCGCUUUGGUGUAAGUCGACUUUGACGAUCUGACUACGAACGUGCGAGGACGUCGCGCCUCAGCAAUCGCUAAACCAACUUCGAGAGGUUAUUGACCACGCCAGAGGUCGAUCAACCUGACCACGAGGGUCUGUUUCCUGCGAGCAAACGAAGAACAAGCAAGAAACUGAGAUUGCAAUCUGGAUAUUGCGAAUAUAAGAUGAAAGCUUUAUUGAUCAAGGUGGGGUUCUGUGACGCCUUUGUCUGGUCAUUGAACACAAACAAAGUACGCGAAGUUGCAGCUAUGGCGAACUUUUAAUCUAAACAAAACCCAAAGUCUAAACGGUGCCCUAAGGGCUGUAUAUAUGGAGGAAGAGGGGGGAAUUUCGUGGCCCUUGGUGGAGGGGUCCAAAAUCAACCCUAUCUCUUGUUUCUCCACACAUACGGACUCUAAAAAUAUCCUAUACUUAUGUAUUUCGAAAUUACAAGGGCCUGGCCCAAUAAUAAGGUGACGCACCACCUAGAAUAGCCUCGGGAUGAAAUUUAUGAAGUGGCAUCUUGUAUACUUCGUCCAAGGCUUCAUGCACCCAUUUUAGUGGCUUCAAAGUCCUGAAAUCAUCACUUGUAACUCCGUUCUUGUUCCCCUUGCGCAUGGCAUCAUCUCCAUGCUUGUUCUUGCUCCAAUGUUCAUCCUUCUCCAAGCUAGGCCCUUCAUUUGUAAGCAAAACAAAUGUAUCCAAUUUAGGCAGCAUCAUAUUCUCAUGAACAUUAGAAUCAUUACCAAGAAACGAAAGUACCUGAUAAUUUAAUUGGCGUGCGCGAGCUCUAGUAAUUGGUCCAGUACAUGUAGCAGUAGAUGAUGUGGGUGUAAGAAUGGUAUUGAUGUCCUCAUCAAGAGGUGAGUAGGAAAUGAGAUAAACAAUACCAAGUUACCUUUUCCCAAAGUUGAGGAUGUAUCCCGUUUCACACAAUGUGAGAUGAAAGAAUAGUGGAAUUGGUACCGGACUUGUUCACACACACCUAUCAAGUAAAGCUUAUAGUGGAGCUCGGUGAGGAUAGUGGCACAAAAUUUUGAUGCAAAAUGUUAGCAAAAGUCAAUAAUGUUGGAAAAGAUUCUCAAAUCAGCAAGUGAAACAAGUAGACCAAUAGAAAUAUGUGGCACACGGAAACACACACACGAAUAGAUAAAUGGGGUCGUGCAACAAAGGAAUGAGCACAGAAUGUGGAAUCCACGGAAAACGCUCGUGUUGCACAACUCAAGAGAGACGCUAGCAUGAUUGCGCAAUAGGCGGAUACGACACUUUUGCACAACCUAUAAGAUGCAAAUGUAUGAGCUUUCGAUCCCAAGUAUGUUAUGUGCAUGAUGUUCCCGAUGCUCUUCUCAAGAUGAUCGGAUAUGACAAUCUUAUGUGCAAUUUAGUAUGAUGCUAUGGCUCUUGCUCAUAAGCUCUUUGCUCUCUUUUUGCUUAAAAGCUUAUUCUUUUUUUAUUCCUUCUUUUUUUUGUUAUGGCCACUUAUGCAAAAUGCACAAACCGAAAUAGCAAUUGUGUAUAUGUGAGAACGAUCUUGUGACACAAGGGAUGAUAUGAUGAUACCAAGAUGAUACCAAUAUGAUAUGGUAUGUAUGCAAUGGAAGGUAUGGAUCACUAAUGUGCACAAGUAACAUUGCCGGCAAUACUCAAAUGGCUAGUCUCGAUAGGCAAGUGACGCAAAAUGGGUUAAGCGGUUAACAAUGUAAUGGCAAGAAUGUACAAUGAUAGGAUACCACAAUACCAAGAUGAUAUAGAGGGUACCGUCCUUGCUUACGGUUAGGGUGUCAAAUUGGUGAAGUGGUCGAUGUCGAUGACGACCUCGCGGAGAUGAUGAGUCACGGUUUUGUUGAUUUCGAUACUAAGAUGAUGUAGACCCGUCCCUAAGUAGCCGAAACACCUUAGGAAAUGGUAAAAAACCGCGAACUCAAAAUCUCAAGGAAAAUGUCAAAUGGUGGUAGCGGAAAGCUAUGGUUGUUCCAGAGUUAGCAAUGUGGAAGUGGUGGUGGUGGUUGAUGAUGAAGCAACCGUCCCUAAGUAGCCGAAACACCUUAGGAGACUCAAGUCACCACUCAAGCAACCACAAAUGCAAUAUGGAUAAAAAAUGGGUUCGGUGGCGGAAAGCGAUGGUGGUUUUGCGAAUGAUAUGGUGGAUGGCCUAUGCAAAGAUGCCAAAAUGCCAAAAUUUUGAUGGAUUCAAAUGGUGGUGGAACCUAUCUAGAUGGAUGGGGGAUGCCAGUAGCUACUCAACGAGCUAAAGAACGUCAAAAUCAGACUCCGGAGGUGAANNNNNNNNNNNNNNNNNNNNNNNNNNNNNNNNNNNNNNNNNNNNNNNNNNNNNNNNNNNNNNNNNNNNNNNNNNNNNNNNNNNNNNNNNNNNNNNNNNNNNNNNNNNNNNNNNNNNNNNNNNNNNNNNNNNNNNNNNNNNNNNNNNNNNNNNNNNNNNNNNNNNNNNNNNNNNNNNNNNNNNNNNNNNNNNNNNNNNNNNNNNNNNNNNNNNNNNNNNNNNNNNNNNNNNNNNNNNNNNNNNNNNNNNNNNNNNNNNNNNNNNNNNNNNNNNNNNNNNNNNNNNNNNNNNNNNNNNNNNNNNNNNNNNNNNNNNNNNNNNNNNNNNNNNNNNNNNNNNNNNNNNNNNNNNNNNNNNNNNNNNNNNNNNNNNNNNNNNNNNNNNNNNNNNNNNNNNNNNNNNNNNNNNNNNNNNNNNNNNNNNNNNNNNNNNNNNNNNNNNNNNNNNNNNNNNNNNNNNNNNNNNNNNNNNNNNNNNNNCGGGGUUUGGGGGUGCGGGCACCCGGGGUGGUCCGAGGCAAACAACCCGGGGUUGCGGGUGCCCGGGGUUUGGGGUGCGGGAACCCGGGGUGGUCAGCGGGGGUGGGCGGGGAGGUCCGGGUGCCCGGGGUUUGAGGUCCGGGUGCUCGGGGGUGUCGGAUUUGGGCGGAAAUUUGUGGGAAGAUGCAAGAAAUUGGUGGAUUUUGUGGAGAGAAAGGUGGAGAUGGAUGGGGGGAAGGCUAGAUCCACUUCAAACCAAGCAAAUCCAUGGAUCAAAUCCAACAAAAUCUCAUCAAACCAACAAAUCACAAAAAAAUUUGGGGCUACUUUUGAUGGGGAACUUUCGAAAUUGGGGAAGAACACACAAAAUUAGGCUAGAAAACAAGAUGGGGGGCUCCAAUCGUGAGAAACCAUGGCUCAUGAUACCAAUAUGUUGUAGGGUGGAACCCUAAGUGAAUAUCUUUCACGAAUUGGAGGGGGAAUCCCCAAGAACAAGAGGAACACUCAAGAACAAGUCCAAUCACACGUCCACUAGACCAACAAACACAGAAGAUCCACAAGGUACAUGAACAAUCAAAGGGAAACACGAUACAUGGUAGAGUUCAUCCCAAAUCCUAUGAAGGAGAUGAGGGCUUGAAUCCCUAGGGACCUUCUCCAAGAGGAGGGCUUGAUCUCCAAGAGGACCUUCUCCAAGAGGAGGCCUUGAUCUCCAAGAGGAGCUUCUCCAAGAGGAGGUCUAGAUCUCCAAAAGGAGGAAGAUGAGCAAAGCUCUCUCUUUGUCUAUCCAAUACUUUGCUAUAUCUCAAAUGAGCUAGGUGGGGGUACUUAUAGUGUAGGGACAAAUUCGGGGCAAGAGAGGGGUACAAGGGUCAAAACCCAUAAAGUGCAUGUAGGCAUACGGAGGGGUCCGGGCACCCGGGGUGCGGAGGACCGGGCACCCGGUCCGGACAGAGAGGCCUCGGCCUUCUUGCUGUUGGGGCCGGGCACACAGGGGCUGAGGGCCCGGGCACCCGGUGCCGGUUGGGCCAGCGGCCAGGAGAAGGGCGGGCACUCCAGCGCCAGGUGGGGAAGGGCCGGGCACCCGGGGGUAGCGGCCCGGGCACCCGGGGCGGCGGUGCAACUCCCAGGUUGGGAGGCCGGGCACCCGGGGUCUCCUGGCCGGGCACCCGGGGCGACUAGGGCCAUCUCCCAGCCGGAGGCCGGGCACCCGGAGGCAUGGGGUCCGGGCACCCGGGGUGUCCCAAGUCCAUGGAAGAAGAGAACCAACGGAAGAAGGCAAGAUCAGCCUCCAAGCACCGGACAUCCGGCCAGGACCCUGGACAUCUGGCCCCUGGAGAUCCAAAAGGCCAGGCCUCUGCUGAAGAAGCUACAGGGAUCGGACAUCUGGCGUCCAGCCCGGACAUCCGGCCCCCACCGGAAAUCCGGCCUAAAUCCCGGACAUCCGGCACUGUCGUCCAGGGAGCACAGAAGCUUGCCCCGACAGCCCGGACAUCCGGCGUUCGCCCUGGACAUCCGGUGCCUCCCAAAGCUGCGGACAUCCGGCCCCUCCGAGCGGACAUCCGGUGUCACCCAUCCAGUGAAUAGAAGAGUCAACUCCACUGGCCCGGACAUCCGGCCCCUCCAGCCCGGACAUCCGGCACCUCGUGAGUGCGCGGACAUCCGGCUCGUCGCCCGGACAUCCAGCACCCUCUGCCUGCGCGCAACUCCUUUGGGCCGUCACCCAUGUACCCCUUCGCCCUUUGACUAUAUAUACUCCCUCAUCCCAUACGUUUUAGGGUUAGCAUUGGUUUAGCUCAAAUUUUGUGUGAGAGCCUUGCUCAUCCACUUGGUUACUUCUCCUCGGAGCUCACGACCUCUUCGGAGAAGAUCCCCCAAGCGGAUUCAAGACCCCUUCAAGGGAAGACAAUCAAGACCUCCUCACGGAGAAGAACGGCUACCUUUGUAUCUUUCCUUUGUUUAUUUUGAAUCUUGUGCUACCUCAUGUGUUCGGUGAUCUAGCCCUUGUGUGAUCGAUACUUGUCGGUUGAGUGAUUCUCUCGUUCCUCCCCGUGUUUUCCCCUUUGUGUUUUCCGCGCGUUCUUCGUGUUUCCCCGUAGGAUCCACUCCAAACGUGAAAGAUCGGCCACCUAGGGUUCCGCCCUACAUCAUCUUGGUAUCGCGAGCCACGUUGAUCACGUUUUUGGAGCCCCUACCCCGUGUUUUCUUGCUUGAGUUUGUUGUUUUCGUCCUAAAUCCGAAAAUCCCCACCAAAAAUAGCCCCAAAUUCUUUUUUGUGAUUUGUUGGUGUUGAAGUUUUGUUGGAUUUGACCCAUGGAUCUGCUUUGCUUUGAGUUGAUCUAGCUUUUCCCCAUCUCUCCUGCGAUUUCCAUCCACCAAUUUGUCUGAAUUUUGCCCCGGAGUUGCAAUUUUCCCGUGGAGUUCAUCGUGUUCAUCCCCGAUCCAGAGCCCGGACAUCCGCCCCGUGUACCCUGGACAUCCGGCACCCUGGACAUCUGGCAGCUGGCCCGGACAUCCGGCCCCUAGGAGCAGCAACUCCAUCCCCCGCGCCCAUUUCCCCAUACUUUCGCCCAAUUUUGCCCCGGUGCCCACGCUUACUUACGCAUACCCCAACACUUUCCAAACAUACCACCACCGCUCACCGCUACCCCCCUAUGUCGAUUUUGACACAUUUUAGUCUUUGAGAUUUUGAGUUGUGGUUCCCGUGUCCUAUUGUGUUUCGGCUAUAUAGGUACGGUUCGACGUCACCAUCACCUCCGCUCAUCUCCACCAACUACUCAACAUCACCAAGGACGGUAACUUUGACGACAUCUUUGUCACACCUUGCAAUUGCAUUGAUGCCCCACAUGGCCUUACCGAUCGAGACUAGCCAUUGAGUAUUGCCGGCAACGUGACUUGUGCACAUUAGUGAUCAUACUCCAUAGCAUACAUACCAUACCACCGUGGUGCAUAUCUUGGAAUCAACUUGUGUGUCACAAAGUUGUCAUAGCAUAUGCAAUUGCUAUCUUGGUUCGUGAAGUUUUGCAUGAGAAAAGAGAUAAAAAGUGAAAGAGCCACCCAAGCUUUUAAGCAAAGAGCUUAUAAGCAAGAACCAUAGCAUCAUACUACAUUAAGAUUGUCAUAAAAGAUCAUCUUGGAUCAUAGCACCGAAAUACCAUACAUAAAGCAUAUUUGGGAUAGAGAUCGUUGCAUUUUUGCCCAGUAGGUUGCGCACAAGCUCCCUAUACGCCUAUUGUGCAAUCGUGCUAGCGUCUCUCUAGUAUUGUGCAACAAGAGCAUUUUCGUGGAUUCCACAUUUUGGCUCACUUUUGGUUUGCACAAUCCCAUUUAUCUAUUUGCGUGUGUGUUUCCGUGUACCCCUACUUGCUUGGUCUACUUGUUGCAUUUGCAAAUUUGUGAAUCUUUUCCAACAUUAUUGAAUCUCACUUUCAAUCAUCAAAUUUUGUGCCACCAUCCUAACCAAGCUCCACCAUAAGCUUUUACUUGUGUAGGUGUGAGAACCAACAAGAAUUGGUACCAAUAGUGCUAUUUCAUUGUCCGCAUUUGAGUGAACUUGAUUCAUCAUCAACAUCGGUCAAGGUACAUUGGUAUAAGUGCUUCUCCUUCUACCACUCACAUUUUGCUUGGAAUGAUGGAUAGGCCGAGUACUUCUACCAACCCACUCUUCAUCGAGCAAGACGACGACAAGUCAACAUACGUCACCAAGAGCCACCUCUUUGGUGCACAACGAGCAUUGCAUCAAGAGCAACAAGCAAGGAACGACCGCAUCGACAACCUCGCCACCGACUUGCGACUCUUAGAGCAACGUACAAGAGACUACUUCGACAACAAGCUCGACGCGCACAAGCAAGAAAAUGAUGCAAGAAUGGACGAGAUACGCGCCUUGUUGGUGAACCGGCCUCCUUCUACAUCGUCAUACUCAAGACAGAGCCACUCAAGUCGACACUCCGACGACUCCUUCUCUAGCUCAAGUACACCGUCAUCGAACACUCUUCGACGAGCCGCGCGUCAAGACCGUCAUGCAUCUCGCAAACCGCUACACGUCAAGAAUUCACAAGAACAAGUCGAUGAGCAAGCCCAUCAUCCUCAAUCAAAUCAGUUGCUUUUGCCCAAGCUCAAGAAUGACAAUGUCUUCGUCGCCAAGAAGUAGAAGAACGAGCACGUCUACACCAAGAGCAACAAGACGCCGAGGCUCAACGUCUUCAACAACAACUACGUGAAGUGCAAGCUCUUGAGGCGCAACGUGCCCUUCAAGAAUCAAGUCGAGCCAUCGCCAACCGCACUCGCGAAUGGCGCAAUCAAGAGGAAGCCCUUCGAGAUGAAAUCCAAGAGAGGAACUACCAACCGCGCGUGCAACAGCAAGUUCCCCAAGCUCCUCCACAAGCUCGUCAAGCUCCACCUCGACCUCAAGUUCAACAACAGCAAGUUGAUCAUGGACUUCCUCCAUGCCAAGAGCAACAUGAGGAUGAUUACCAUCCACGUCAAGGGCGUCAUCAUCACCAUCGCCAACAACACAAUGAAGAGAAACGCUAUGUCAAGCUCAAAUUCACAAUGCCCAAGUUCAAUAGAAGCAAUGAUCCCGAAGAAUACCUCUCAUGGGAAUUGAAGGUCGACAAAAUCUUUCAUUUGCACAACUAUGAGGAAGAGAAGAAGAUCUAUAUGGCAUCACUUGAGUUCCAAGACUAUGUGCUCAUAUGGUGGGAACAAGUCCUUGAGCGCCGACAAGCAAGAGGUGAACCUCCAAUCACCACUUGGGCUCAAAUGAAGGAUGUCAUGCGAGCACGUUUUGUGCCAACCUACUACAACCACGAUCUCUUCAAGAUGCUACAACUCCUCAAGCAAGGAACAAAGAGUAUUGAAGAAUACUACAAGGAAAUGGAGAUUGCCAUGAUUCGAGCCAAUGUCACGGAGGAUGAUGAGCAAACUAUGGCACGAUUCUUGAAUAGACUCAAUCAUCCCGUCAAGAAGAUCGCCGACUUCCAACCCUACUCCAACCUCAUUGAGCUCGUGCAUCAAGCUACAAAGGCGGAACGUCAAGUGCAGGAUGACUUCAAGUACGCCAAGUACUUAUCCAAGACCUACGGUUUCUCCAAUAACCAAGCUUCAACAACUACUCCAACUUCGACAUCAACCAAGCCUUCUCCAAGCAACGACAACAAGACAAGUUACAAGAAAACUUCGGCAAGUUCAAGUCGUCUUCCUCCUACUACAAGCAACUUCAAACCGCGUGCUUCAUCAUCUACUCCGACCGAUCAGACCAUCAAGACAAGCUCCUUCAAGUGUUUCACUUGCGGCGGCCGAGGCCACAAGUCCUAUGAAUGCACAAACAAGCGCACCAUGAUCCUCAACAACGAUGGCACAUAUGACUCCAUGAGUGAUGACGAGAUGGAAGCUCUUGAUCAAGUGGCCAUGCACCGGCGCGUGAACGAGGAUGAAGAUGAUCAAGUCUUUUGUGAUGAAGAUACGAGCCCCGCUCUUGUUGUCUCCAAGGUCUUGACUCUUCAACAUCAACAAGAAGAAGACCAACGAUACCAUAUCUUCCACACCAAGGCCGGCAUCAAUGGAAGGUCCGUCAAGGUCAUCAUCGAUGGAGGUAGUUGCCACAACUUGGCAAGUGAAGAACUAUGCUCCAAGCUUCAAUUGGUAAAGAGGAAGCACCCGCACCCCUACAAGGUUCAAUGGCUAAGUGACUCCGGCACUAUCCGAGUUGAGCAUACGGUCCAAGUAUCCUUCAAAAUUGGUGCAUAUGAAGACACUUUGGAGUGUGAUGUGGUCCCCAUGACCGUUUGCCACCUCCUCCUUGGUAGGCCAUGGCAAUUCUACCGUGGUGUCAUCCACAACGGGCGCACCAAUCACUAUAGCUUCAAGAUGAAAGGGAAGGAAUAUGUGCUACGACCUAUGUAUCCUAGUCAAGUGAUAGCCGACAAGCAAGCCACCCAUCAUGGAGAGAAGAGUGAGAAAGUAAUCCACCCAAAAGUGAGUGAGAGCCACAAGCCAAACUUGAGCGCCUCUUCUCCUAGAGAGAAAAACUUAGUCCUAUUUGCCACAAAAAGUGAGAUGAGAGAAGUGUGUGAGAACCCAUCGAGUGUGAUGCACUUUGUCCUUGUGUGCAAGGACGGGGAACCACAAACUAACACCUCUCACGAGCUACCUUUAGUGUUUCAAUCUCUUUUGCAGGAAUUCCAAGAUGUUUUCCCUGAUGAGCUACCUCCGGGUCUACCUCCCCUACGAGGCAUCGAGCAUCGAAUCGACCUCAUCCCCAGAGCGCCACUUCCAAACAAAGCCCCAUAUCCUGUCAAUCCCGAAGAAACCAAGGAGAUUCAACGGCAAGUACAACAACUAAUCAACAACGGUCAUGUACGUGAAAGCUUAAGCCCUUGUGCCGUUCCGGUUAUACUUGUGCCUAAGCCCGAUGGAAGUUUCUGCUUGUGUUCCGAUUGUAGACCUAUAAAUGCUAUUACCGUUCAAUAUAGGCAUCCAAUUCCUCGCUUAGAUGAUAUGCUUGAUGAACUUAGUGGAGCCAACUUUUUCUCCAAAAUUGAUCUUAAAAGUGGCUAUUAUAAAAUCCGCAUUCAAGAGGGUGAUGAGUGGAAAACUGCUUUCAAAACCAAAUUUGGCUUAUAUGAGUGGUUAGUUAUGCCUAUGGGUUUAUCGGAGGCUCCCGGUACUUUCGUGCGUCUCAUGCAUUAUGUGCUUCGCCCUUAUAUUGGAGUCUUUGUUGUGGUUUACUUCGAUGAUAUUCUUGUGUUUAGCAAAACCAUGAAAGAACAUCUUAAUCAUGUUAGGGUUGUUUUACAAACCCUUCGCAAGGAAAGUCUUUAUGCAAACAUGAAAAAGUGCACAUUUGGUGUUGACAAAGUGGUUUUCUUGGGUUUUGUUGUAUCUUCCAAGGGUGUCCAUGUUGAUGAAUCUAAAAUUGAAGCAAUUAAAACUUGGCCCCAACCCACCAAUUUGCAACAAGUGCGUAGUUUUCUUGGUCUAGCAGGUUUUUAUCGUCGCUUUGUCAAAGAUUUUAGCACUAUUGCCGCUCCUUUGCAUGCCUUGAGUAAGAAGAAUGCUCCUUUUGUUUGGGGAUCUUUGCAAUCCACCGCUUUUGAUGAGCUCAAGUCUUUGCUUACAUGUGCUCUGAUUCUUGCUUUACCCAAUUUUGACAAAACUUUUGAGGUUCAUUGUGAUGCAAGCAGUACCAGAAUUGGCGGAGUUUUGAUGCAAGAAAAAUGAGCCAUUGCAUAUUUUAGUGAAAAACUCUCCGGUGUUCAACUUAACUAUCCCAUCUAUGACAAAGGAUUUUAUGCUUUAGUGCGUGUGCUACAUGUUUGGGAAUAUUAUCUUAGACCUCAUGAGUUUGUCAUUCAUACCGAUCAUGAAACGCUUAAGUACUUAAAAGGUCAAACUAAGUUAAACAAGCGUCAUGCCAAAUGGAGUGAAUUUAUUGAAUCUUUCCCCUAUGUGAUCAAGUACAUUAAGGGUAAGGAAAAUGUAGUUGCGGAUGAACUUUCACGCAUAUGCACGCUUGUCACUAAACUUGAGUUGAAUACUAUUGGCUCUGAGCACAUAAAAGACUUGUAUGCUAAUGAUCCAUCUUUUACGACUCCUUAUGCUAAAUGUUUGAUGCAUACAUCUUGGGAGCAAUAUUACAUCAAGGAUGGUUAUCUUAUGAGAGCUAACAAACUAUGCAUUCCCGAGUCUUCUCUUCGUUUGCUCCUUUUGCAAGAGGCUCAUGGAGGCGGACUCAUGGGACACUUCAGACGCGACAAGACAUUCACCACACUCUCCAAUAACUACUUUUGGCCCAAGAUAUUCUGUGACGUCUCAUGCUUCACCACCCGAUGCUCUACAUGUCGCAAAGCUAAGUCUAAAGCUCAAUCCCAUGGUCUUUACAUGCCUCUUACUAUUCCUUAUCAACCUUGGGAAGACAUUAGCAUGGAUUUUGUACUUGGUUUGCCUAGAACUCAAAAUGGCAAAGAUUCCGUGUUUGUUGUUGUGGACUGAUUUUCUAAGAUGGCACAUUUCAUCCGUUGCAACAAGAUAGACGAUGCUUCACACGUAGAAAAUCUCUUUUGUAGGGAAAUCUUGCGUCUCCAUGGAGUACCAAAGACAAUCGUCUCCGACCACGACGUCAAGUUCUUGAGUUACUUUUGGAAGACCCUAUGCGCCAAGCUCGGAAUCAAGCUCUUGUUCUCAUCCGCAUAUCAUCCUCAAACCGACGGCCAAACGGAGGUGACGAACCGUACACUCUCCACUCUACUUCGCGUGUUGAUCAAGAAGAACAUCAAGGAGUGGGAGGAGUGUCUACCCAUCGCCGAGUAUGUGAUAGAGGCAAAGGUGUCCCGUCUUUCGAUGAGAUGAUGGAUAUCGCUUUGGUGGAAGUCGACUUUGAUGAUCCGACUACGAACGUGCGAGGACGUCGUGCCUUAGCAAUCGCUAAACCAACUCCGAGAGGUUACUGACCACGCCGGAGCACGAUCAACCUGACCACGAAGGUCUAUUUCCUGCAGGCAAAUGAAGAACAAGCAAGAAACUAAGAUUGCAAUCUGGAUAUUGCGAAUAUAAGAGGAAAGCUUUAUUGAUCAAGGUGGGGUUCUGUGACGCCUUUGUCUGGUCGUUGAACACAAAUGAUGUACGCGAAGUUGCAGCUACGGCGAGCUUUUAAUCUAAACAAAACCCAAAGUCUAAACGGCGCCCUAAGGGUUGUAUAUAUGGAGGAAGAGGGGGUGAAUUUCGUGGCCCUUGGUGGAGGGGUCCGAAACUAACCCUAUCUCAUAUUUCCCCACACAUACGGACUAUAAAAAUAGCCUAUACUUAUGUAUUUCGAAAUUACAUGGGCCUGACCCAAUAAUAAGGUGACGCAACACCUAGAAUAGCCUCUGGACGAAAUUUAUGAAGUGGCAUCUUGUAUAUUUCGUGCAAGGCUUCAUGCACUCAUUAUGGUGGCUUCAAAGUCCUGAAAUCAUCACUUGUAACUCCGUUCUUGUUCCCCUUGCGCAUGCCAUCAUCUCCAUGCUUGUUCUUGCUCCAAUGUUCAUCCUUCUCCAAGCUAGGCCCUUCAUUUGUAAGCAAAACAAAUGUAUCCAAUUUAGGCAGCAUCAUAUUCUCAUGAACAUUAGAAUCAUUACCAAGAAACGAAAGUACCUGGUAAUUUAGUUGGCGUGCGCGAGCUCUAGUAAUUGGUCCAGUAUAUGUAGCAGUAGGAGUUGUGGGUGUAACAAUGGUAUUGAUGUCGUCAUCAUCCUCCCCUUCUUGAAAUGAAGUCGUCCUCGACGGAAGCUCAUCUUCCUCACCCAAAUAAGGCUUCAAAUAUGCAAUGUUAAAAGUGGGACUAACCCCAAAAUCUGCAGGCAGCUCAAGUUUAUAUGCAUUAUCAUUUAUUUUCUCCAACACCUUAAAAGGACCAUCAACACGUGGCAUUAACUUUGAUUUGCGCAAAUUAGGAAAACUUUCCUUACGCAAAUGUAACCAAACAAGAUCUCCAGGUGCAAACACAAGAUGUUUUCUACCCUUAUCUCCAGCAAGUUUAUAUUUAGCAUUCAUACGCUCAAUGUUUUUUAGUUAACUCAUGCAUUUUUAAAAUCAAUUCGGCACGUUGUUUAGCAUAAAAAUUAACCUUCUCCGAAGAUGGAACAGGCAACAAAUCAAUAGGUGCACGAGGUAGGAAACCAUACACAAUUUCAAAAGGGCACAUCUUAGUAGUAGAAUGCAAUGAACGAUUAUAAGCAAAUUCAAUAUGAGGCGAGCAUUCUUCCCACAUUUUCCUAUUAUUCUUCAAAGCAGCCCUAAGCAUAGUAGACAAUGUUCUAUUGACUACUUCAGUUUGUCCAUCAGUUUGGGGGUGACAAGUAGUACUAAAAUGCAGUUUAGUCCCCAAUAUAGCCCAUAAACAUCUCCAAAAGUGGCUAAGAAAUUUAGUAUCACGAUCUGAAACAAUAGUAUUGGGCACACCAUGCAAGCGAAUAAUUUCACGAAAGAACAAAUCAGCAACAUUAACGCCAUCAUCGCUUUUAUGACAUGGUAUAAAGUGUGCCAUUUUCGAGAAUCUAUCCACGACAACAAAUAUGCUAUCCCUCCCCUUCUUUGUUCGAGGUAAACCUAAAACAAAGUCCAUAGAUAUAUCCUCCCAAGGAACACUAGGUACGGGCAAAGGCAUAUAUAAACCAUGAGGAUUGAGUCAUGACUUAGCUUUUUGACAUGUAGUGCAGCGAGCAAUAAAAAGCUCAACAUCCCGUCUCAUCUUUGGCCAAAAGAAAUGUGUAGCAAGUACGUCCUCCGUCUUCUUCACGCCAAAGUGUUCCAUUAAUCCCCCUCCAUGCGCCUCCUGCAACAACAAAAGACGAAUAGAGCUAGCUGGAAUGCAUAGCUUGUUAGUACGAAACACAAAUCCAUCAUUAACGAUGAACUUGUUCCAUGUUCUCCCUUCUUUACAAUUCUGCAAUACAUCUUUAAAAUCAGCAUCAUGCACAUAUUGAUCUUUGAUGGUCUCCAAACCAAAUAUUUUGAAGUCAAGUUGUGAAAGCAUAGUAUAGAGACGAGACAAUGCAUCAGCAAUAACAUUUUCUUUACCCUUCUUGUGUUUAAUAACAUAAGGGAAAGUCUCAAUGAAUUCAACCCAUUUAGCAUGUCUAUGAUUCAGUUUAGCUUGACUUUUAAUAUGUUUCAAAGAUUCAUGGUCAGAAUGUAUAACAAAUUCUUUGGGCCAUAAAUAAUGUUGCCAUGUCUCUAAAGUCCGAACAAGAGCAUAUAAUUCUUUAUCAUAAGUAAAAUAAUUCAGACUAGGCCCACUCAAUUUUUCAGAAAAGUAUGCAACAGGUUUGCCAUCUUGUAAUAACACACCUCCUAAUCCAAUUCCGCUAGCAUCAUAUUCAAGCUCAAAAGUCUUAUUAAAAUCAGGAAGUUGGAGUAAAGGAGCAUGUGUCAACUUAUCUUUCAACACCGUGAAGGAUUCUUCCUGUGCGGUACCCCAAACAAAAGGCACAUCCUUCUUUGUAAGCUCAUUGAGAGGUGCAUCAAUGGUGCUGAAAUCUCUCACAAAACGCCUAUAGAAUCCAGCGAGGCCAAGAAAACUCCUCACUUGUGUGACCGUUUUGGGCUGCGGCCAAAUCUCAAUAGCUUCAAUCUUGGCUUUAUCAACUUCAAUUCCCUAUGGAGUAACAACAUAGCCAAGAAAAGACACUCGGUCGGUGCAAAAGGUGCACUUCCCAAGGUUACCAAACAAACGUGCAUCACAUAGAGCAAUAAAAAUAGCACGUAAAUGUUCCAAAUGUUCCUCCAAAGAUCUGCUAUAAAUCAAUAUGUCAUCAAAGUAAACUACCACAAAUCGUCCAAUGAAAGCACGUAAAACUUCGUUCAUUAAUCUCAUGAAAGUACUAGGUGUAUUAGUUAACCCAAAAGGCAUGACUAACCACUCAUAUAAUCCAAACUUAGUUUUAAAUGUUGUUUUCCAUUCAUCCCCCAAUUUCAUAUGAAUUUGAUGGUAUCCACUAUGCAAAUCAACUUUAGAGAAUAUUGUAGAGCCACUCAAUUCAUCAAACAUAUCAUCUAGCCUAGGAAUAGGAUGACGAUAACGAAUAGUAAUAUUAUUAAUGCCUCUACAAUCAACACACAUACACGAUGUACCAUCCUUUUUCGGCACUAGAAUAAUAGGAAUAGCACAAGGACUAAGGGAUUCGCGUAUAUAACCUUUGUCGAGAAGCUCUUGUAUUUGACGCAUAAUCUCCUUCGUCUCCUCUGGAUUGGUACGGUAUGGCGCACGAUUUGGCAGUGAAGCACCGGGAAUUAAGUCAAUCUAAUGCUCAAUCCCUCGAAUAGGCGGUAAUCCCGGUGGCACGUCUUGUGGAAAGACGUCAGCGAACUCCUGCAAAAUGUUAGUGACAGCAGGUGGCAAAGAGGAAGGCGCGUCCUCGAAUGAAAAUAAUGCCUCUUUGCACACAAAAGCAUAGCAAACAGAUUUGCUGAAAUCUAGCUCAUCAAUAUCAGAUUUGGUGGCAAAUAAACAUGCACUUUUCAAUUUAAUUUUAGAAGCAACACUAGAUGGUUUAUUAUUAGGCUUCAUUUGUUGCGCAAAUUCUUUUGCCACAAUCUGAUUUUCACUCUUAUUUUGCUCCUGUUUUGCUUUAUUAGCUCUAUUAAUAUCAUCUUUCAAAAUGGAAUAAAGAGUCAUAGGAAGCAAAGUAAUAUUUUUAUCCUUAAGAACAAGAGUAUACUGAUUAUUUCUACCAUGGUGUACAGAAUUUUUAUCUAAUUGCCAUGGUCUACCAAGUAAUAAGGAACAUGCUUGCAUAGGUACCACAUCACAAUCAACAUAAUCAGCAUAUGUAGAGAUACUAAAAUGCACACGAACAGUACGUGUUACCUUAACCUUGCUGCUAUUGUUGAACCAUUGGAUGUAGUAAGGAUGUGGAUGUGGUCUUGUGGUGAGGGAGAGCUUCUCCACCAUCUCCAUGCUAGCCAAGUUGUUGCAGCUCCCUCUGUCUAUGAUGACGCACACAGAACGUUCCUUCACAACUCUCUUUAUAUGGAACAAAUUAUGCCUCUGAUUUUGCUCAGCUUGUGUGACCUGCACACUCAAAACACGUUGAGCAACUAAACAUUCAUACCUGUCAGCGUCUUCAGGAGCCAUGUAUUCCAUCUCAUGAUCAGAAUCAUCUCCACCAUGUUCUUCACGUGUAAUAAGAGCCAACGUCUCCGCAUCAUAGUCACUAGCGGACUCAUACCCACCAUCCUCAAUAGCAAUCAUCACACGCUGAGAUUUGCAUUCUCUCGCAUAAUGACCUCUUCCCUUACAACGACGACAAAUAAUAUCACUUGUGUGGCUAGUGGAUGCCAUGGACGAAGAUGAGCUCUGUGUUGGCCCGGCAGGUGCGCUCUUGGCAGAUAGUGGUGGUUGUGCCUGCUUUCUUGUAUCAUGGCUGGAGGUGGCACCUAAUGGAGGUGUUGGUGCAGUGGAAGUAGAAGAUGCACGCGGUGUCCAUGAUGAAAGUCGACCUGCAGAAAAGUUAGUUCGCGCCAAUGCUUGUCGAUCCUGCACUUCACGUUCAGCUUUACAAGCAAGAUGGAAUAAACGAGUGAUAUUAGUAUACUCCUUAUACUCUAGAAUGGUCUGCAUCUCUCUAUUUAAUCCACCCAUAAAACGUGCAAGCAUAGCUUCAUUCUCGUCAAUAAUACCACAUCUAAUUAUGCCAGUUUGUAAUUCCUGAUAAUAUUCUUCUACAAAAAAAUUUCCUUGUCUUAAACACUGUAAUUUUUGAAGCAAUUCACGUUGAUAAUAUGGUGGAACCCAACGAGUACGCAUAGCAGUUUUCAAAGCAGCCCAAGUAGUUGGAAUAGGAUAUAAUCUACAAUGUUCAGACCACCAUACACAUGCAAAACUAGUGAAAGCACAAACAACAGCAGCAACCCGUCUCUCCUCGGGAUAUUGUAAACAUGUAGAACGUUGUUCAGUUUCUAACUCCCAAGUAAGAUAUAUAUCAGGAACAUAUCUACCCUCAAAUGGUGGAAUAUUCAAUUUCAGUUUCGGAAUAUGGUCAUUAUCUCGUACCUGAGGUGGUGGUGCAGGCCUACCGUUGCGAAUAUAUACCUGAGGUCGACCUACUGGUGGUGGUGCUGGUGGCUGCACGUAGUUCUUAUUUUGAUCAACCUCAUCCUCGUAAUAGUCCUCCACCUCUGCAGUAACAGCGGGAGCUACAGAAACACUAACAGCAGUAGCAGCGGCACCAGAAUUUUGUCCUGGCUCAAUAGGAACACGCUGUGCUCUCCCUACUGUAUCGCGGCGUAGAUCUGGUUGUGGGAGACGUUUGAGUAAUUCAUCAAACUUGGCGUCCAACUUCGUGUCAAUUGACUUCUCAAUGUCAUCCAUCUUCUCCAUUGCCUUUCCAAAGCUGGCCAUCACGUCUUCCACCUGUUGACCCAAUAUUUGAUGGAACUUAUCAUGAAGCUCCUUGUUCGUCAUGUUCUCCCAGUCAAUCUCAUCAACUUGUGUUCCUGCCAUAGUUAGCAACAAUAGAAACAGACAAGAAUAUGAUCCUAUAGACUACUGGAAUAUGGUGGUGGUGGGGUGUCACAAAUUCGUCAAGCGAAACUCAAAUUCUUACCAGUUCUUAUCCAGCAGUAGGCGGUGAUCGGCAACCGUUGUAGUCAAAACUCUCAAAGCUUGGAUAGAGCGAUUACCAAGGAUUGUCAAACACACGACGUAGAUGUAUGUGGAGCUGGGAAGGCUAUAAUUUGGUAGCAAAAAGGAUCAACAAUAAUCAAUUCAGAGAUGCAAAGUUGAAUAAAUGCUCAACGACGGUACUGUGCUGGUCCCUGGCUAGACCGUGCUAGAAACGCGAGCCUAGAACACUAACAAAAUCACGGCGCUGCACUUAAACAAGCGAAAAGCACACUCUGGAAUUUUUUUCGCUCUUUUUUUUGCGCUGCUUUUUUUUUGCGGAAAAUCACUAUAAUGGCGAGUGUCUCAAAACUCUUCCCAGGUCAAACUGACAAGAUGGGCACGAAAUUUUUUGACAAUUUUUUUUCGGAAAUUAGGGCAGCGACGACGAAAAAGUGCGACAAAAAAUCACUAUGAUGGCGAAUGUCUCAAAACACUCUUGGGGACCUAAAAAUAGGAUAGGGAAAAAAUAUUUUCGGUCGCCGAAAUUUUGGCGUAAAAACUGCCCGGGGGUCUCCAGACUCUUUUUUUUGAAACCUACUCAGGCAAGGAAACACGAAUCGGAAAUUAGAUGGAUCUUGGAAACAAACCUACUACGAAAAGAACUCGGAUUGAUGGUGGAUAUAUGGUGGUAGGAUAUGGCAACGGUGGUGGUAUAUGAUAGCGGUGGUGGUAUAUGGAUAUGGAUAGGUGGGAUAUGGCAGCGGUGGUGGUAUAUGGCAGCGGUGGUGGUAUAAGGCAGCGGUGGUGGGAUAUGGCAGCGGUGGUAGUAUAUAGCAACAACGAUGUAGAUGGUGCGGCGGCUGCGUGACAAACUGUGACAGAACUCGAAACUCUAAAGGACUAGACGCUAAGACCAGCAAUUAGACACGAUGAUGCAACAGCAAAUUCAACAAAGCAAAACCCUAAAAAGAUUAUGCAAAGGCUCAGAUUGGUUCGGAUAUGAUGAACUAACCCUAAUUUUUUUUGUGGCUUUUCGUGGACUGUAGGUAUGAAGAACCGACUCGAUCUAAACUACGAAAAACUGUAAAAUCUCAUCGUGCAACCUGUAAAUCUGAUACCACUUGAUAGUGGCAAAGGUGUCCCGUCUUUCGAUGAGAUGAUGGAUAUCGCUUUGGUGGAAGUCGACUUUGACGAUCCGACUACGAACGUGCGAGGACGUCGCGCUUUAGCAAUCGCUAAACCAACUCCGACAGGUUAUUGACCACGCCGGAGCAUGAUCAACCUGACCACGAUGGUCUGUUUCCUGCAGGCAAACGAAGAACAAGCAAGAAACUAAGAUUGCAAUCUGUGUAUUGCGACUAUAAGAGGAAAGCUUUAUUGAUCAAGGUGGGGUUCUGUGACGCCUUUGUCUGGUCGUUGAACACAAACGAAGUACGCGAAGUUGCAGCUAUGGUGAACUUUUAAUCUAAAAAAAACCCAAAGUCUAAACGGUGCCCUAAGGGUUGUAUAUAUGGAGGAAGAGGGGGUGAAUUUCGUGGCCCUUGGUGGAGGGCUCCGAAACUAACCCUAUCUCUUGUUUCCCACACAUAUGGACUCUAAAAAUAGCCUAUACUUAUGUAUUUCGAAAUUACAUGGGCCUGACGCAAUAAUAAGGUGACGCAGCACCUAGAAUAGCCUCUGGACGAAAUUUAUGAAGUGGCAUCUUGUAUAUUUCGUCCAAGGCUUCAUGCACUCGUUAUGGUGGCUCCAAAGUCCUGAAAUCAUCGCUUGUAACUCCGUUCUUGUUCCCCUUAUGCAUGUCAUCAUCUCCAUGCUUCCCCAAUGAACGCAAGUCCAAGCUUCUCCCUCGAGCCGGCGAACCCUUCAAGGUGCUAGCAUGCUACAACAACAAUGCUUACAAGAUCGAUCUGCCACGCGACAAGUACAACGUGAGCGACAUCUUCAACGUCUCCGAUCUCUCCCCGUACCAUGGUGAUGAGGAUUUUGAUCCAAGGUCGGAUCUUUCCCAAGGGGGGGGAGAUGAUACAGAGCAUCCUUCGGUCAUCCCCAUGGACCUUCCAUCGCCUCACCAAGCCCCAAGAGGACCCAUGACUAGAGCACGUGCUAGAGCUCUCGAGACCGAGGUGACUUCUCUCCUUAAUGAUAUCUCAUAUGAUCCUCUCGAGACAUGGCUACUACCUCAAUCCGGAAUGUUGUGCAUGAUUAGGUACCAAGAGGACCCUCCUGAGGAUGCACAUGAAGAUGGUCAAGAUCCCAAGUCCAUGGAAGAAGAGAACCAAUGGAAGAAGGCAAGAUCGGCCUCCAGGCACCGGACAUCCGGCCAGGACCCCAAACAUCCGGCCCCUGGAGAUCCAUAAGGCCAGGCCUCUGCAGAAGAAGCUACAGGGACCGGACAUCUGGCAUCCAUCCCAGACAUCGGGCCCCCACCGGAAAUCCGGCCUAAAUCCCGGAUGUCCGGCACUGGCGUCCAAGGAGCACAAAAGCUUGCCCCAACAGCCCGGACAUCCGGCGUUCGCCCCGGACAUCCGGCGCCUCCCGAAGCCGCGGACAUCCGGCCCCUCUGAGCGGACAUCCGGCGUCACCCAUCCAGUGAACAGAAGAGUCAACUCCACUGGCCCAGACAUCCGACCCCUCCAGUCCGCACAUCCGGCACCUCGUGAGUGCCUGGACAUCCGGCCCGUCGCUCGGACAUCCGGCACCCUCUGCCUGCGCGCAGUUCCUUUGGUCCGUGACCCAUGUACCCCUUCGCCCUUUGACUAUAUAUACUCCCUCAUCCUGUACGUUUUAGGGUUAGCAUUGGUUUAGCUCAUAUUUUGUGUGAGAGCCUUGCUCAUCCACUUGGUUACUUCUCCUUGGAGCUCAUGACCUCUUUGGGGAAGAUCCCCCAAGCGGAUUCAAGACCCCUUCAAGGGAAGACAAUCAAGAUCUCCUCAUGGAGAAGAACGGCUACCUUUGUAUCUUUCCUUUGUUGAUUUUGAAUCUUGUGCUACCUCAUGUGUUCGGUGAUCUAGCCCUUGUGUGAUCGAUACUUGUUGGUUGAGUGAUUCUCUCGUUCCUCCCCGUGUUUUCCCCUUUGUGUUUUCCGCGCGUUCUUCGUGUUUCCCCGUAGGAUCCACUCCAAACGUGAAAGAUCGCCCCCCUAGGGUUCCGCCCUACAUCACUAUAAGUAUGAAGAACAGACUCGAUCUAAACUACGAAAAAAUGUGAAAUCUCACCGAGCAACCUGGAAAUCUGAUACCACUUGAUAGAGGCAAAGGUGUCCCGUCUUUUGAUGAGAUGAUGGAUAUCGCUUUGGUGGAAGUCAACAUUGAUGAUCCGACUACAAACUUGCGAGGACGUCGCGCCUUUGCAAUCGCUAAACCACCUCCGAGAGGUUAUUGACCAUGCCGGAGAACAAUCAACCUGACCACGAGAGUCUGUUUCCUGCGAGCAAACAAAGAACAAGCAACAAACUGAGAUUGCAAUCUGGAUAUUGCGAAUAUAAGAUGAAAGCUUUAUUGAUCAAGGUGGGGUUCUGUGAUGCCUUUGUCUGGUCUUUGAACACAAACGAAAUACGCGAAGUCGCAGCUAUGGCGAACUGUUAAUCUAAACAAAACCCAAAGUCUAAAUGAUGCCUUAAGGGCUGUAUAUAUGGAGGAAGAGGGGGGAAUUUCGUGGCCCUUGGGGAAGGGGUCCGAAACCAACCCUAUCUCUUGUUUCCCCACACAUACGGACUCUAAAAACAGUCUGUACUCAAGUAUUUCGAAAAUACAUGGGCCUGGUCCAAUAAUAAGGUGACGCAACACCUAGAAUAGCCUCUGGACGAAAGUUAUGAAGUAGCAUAUUAUAUAUUUCGUCCAAGGCUUCAUGCACUCAUUAUGGUGGCUUCAACGUCCUGAAAUCAUCAUCUGUAACUCCGUUCUUGUUCCCCUUGCGCAUGCCAUCAUCUCCAUGCUUGUUCUUGCUCCAAUGUUCAUCCUUCUCCAAGCUAGGCCCUUCAUUUGUAAGCAAAACAAAUGUAUCCAAUUUAGGCAGCAUCAUAUUCUCAUGAACAUUAGAAUCAUUACCAAGAAACGAAAGUACCUGAUAAUUUAAUUUGCGUGCGCGAGCUCUAGUAAUUGGUCCAGUAUAUGUAGCAGUAGGGGCUGUGGGUGUAACAAUGGUAUUGAUGUCCUCAUCAGUACGCCUACAACCGUGCAAGACAUUCGACGACCGGCAAGUCCCCCUUCGAGGUCGUCUACGGCUUCAACCCGUUGUCCCCAUUGGACAUUCUACUUCUUCCUCUACAAGAGUGCACCAACCUCGACGCAAGUGCCCGUGUAAGCUACAUCAAGAAGAUGCAUGAAGAUACAAGGCACACGAUCGAGCGCCAAGUACAACGACUCGCGGCCAAGAUCAACGUCAACAAGCAUCCCAUGAUAUUCAACAUUGGAGACCUCGUGUGGCUACAACUUUGCAAGGACCGCUUCCCCAAUGAACGCAAGUCCAAGCUUCUCCCUCGAGCCGGCGAACCCUUCAAGGUGCUAGCAUGCUACAACAACAAUGCUUACAAGAUCGAUCUGCCACGCGACAAGUACAACGUGAGCGACAUCUUCAACGUCUCCGAUCUCUCCCCGUACCAUGGUGAUGAGGAUUUUGAUCCAAGGUCGGAUCUUUCCCAAGGGGGGGGGGGAGAUGAUACAGAGCAUCCUUCGGUCAUCCCCAUGGACCUUCCAUCGCCUCACCAAGCCCCAAGAGGACCCAUGACUAGAGCACGUGCUAGAGCUCUCGAGACCGAGGUGACUUCUCUCCUUAAUGAUAUCUCAUAUGAUCCUCUCGAGACAUGGCUACUACCUCAAUCCGGAAUGUUGUGCAUGAUUAGGUACCAAGAGGACCCUCCCGAGGAUGCACAUGAAGAUGGUCAAGAUCCCAAGUCCAUGGAAGAAGAGAACGAAUGGAAGAAGGCAAGAUCGGCCUCCAGGCACCGGACAUCCGGCCAGGACCCCAAACAUCCGGCCCCUGGAGAUCCAUAAGGCCAGGCCUCUGCAGAAGAAGCUACAGGGACCGGACAUCUGGCAUCCAUCCCAGACAUCGGGCCCCCACCGGAAAUCCGGCCUAAAUCCCGGAUGUCCGGCACUGGCGUCUAAGGAGCACAAAAGCUUGCCCCAACAGCCCGGACAUCCGGCGUUCGCCCCGGACAUCCGGCGCCUCCCGAAGCCGCGGACAUCCGGCCCCUCUGAGCGGACAUCCGGCGUCACCCAUCCAGUGAACAGAAGAGUCAACUCCACUGGCCCAGACAUCCGACCCCUCCAGUCCGCACAUCCGGCACCUCAUGAGUGCCUGGACAUCCGGCCCGUCGCCCGGACAUCCGGCACCCUCUGCCUGCGCGCAGCUCCUUUGGUCCGUGACCCAUGUACCCCUUCGCCCUUUGACUAUAUAUACUCCCUCAUCCCGUACGUUUUAGGGUUAGCAUUGGUUUCGCUCAUAUUUUGUGUGAGAGCCUUGCUCAUCCACUUGGUUACUUCUCCUCGGAGCUCACGACCUCUUUGGAGAAGAUCCCCCAAGCGGAUUCAAGACCCCUUCAAGGGAAGACAAUCAAGAUCUCCUCAUGGAGAAGAACGGCUACCUUUGUAUCUUUCCUUUGUUGAUUUUGAAUCUUGUGCUACCUCAUGUGUUCGGUGAUCUAGCCCUUGUGUGAUCGAUACUUGUUGGUUGAGUGAUUCUCUCGUUCCUCCCCGUGUUUUCCCCUUUGUGUUUUCCGCGCGUUCUUCGUGUUUCCCCGUAGGAUCCACUCCAAACGUGAAAGAUCGCCCCCCUAGGGUUCCGCCCUACAUCACUAUAUGUAUGAAGAACAGACUCGAUCUAAACUACGAAAAAAUGUGAAAUCUCACCGAGCAACCUGGAAAUCUGAUACCACUUGAUAGAGGCAAAGGUGUCCCGUCUUUCGAUGAGAUGAUGGAUAUCGCUUUGGUGGAAGUCAACAUUGAUGAUCCGACUACAAACUUGCGAGGACGUCGCGCCUUUGCAAUCGCUAAACCACCUCCGAGAGGUUAUUGACCAUGCCGGAGAACAAUCAACCUGACCACGAGAGUCUGUUUCCUGCGAGCAAACAAAGAACAAGCAAGAAACUGAGAUUGCAAUCUGGAUAUUGCGAAUAUAAGAUGAAAGCUUUAUUGAUCAAGGUGGGGUUCUGUGAUGCCUUUAUCUGGUCUUUGAACACAAACGAAAUACGCGAAGUUGCAGCUAUGGCGAACUGUUAAUCUAAACAAAACCCAAAGUCUAAACGAUGCCUUAAGGGCUGUAUAUAUGGAGGAAGAGGGGGGAAUUUCGUGGCCCUUGGGGAAGGGGUCCGAAACCAACCCUAUCUCUUGUUUCCCCACACAUACGGACUCUAAAAACAGCCUGUACUCAAGUAUUUCGAAAAUACAUGGGCCUGGUCCAAUAAUAAGGUGAUGCAACACCUAGAAUAGUCUCUGGACGAAAGUUAUGAAGUAGCAUAUUAUAUAUUUCGUCCAAGGCUUCAUGCACUCAUUAUGGUGGCUUCAACGUCCUGAAAUCAUCAUCUGUAACUCCAUUCUUGUUCCCCUUGCGCAUGCCAUCAUGUCCAUGCUUGUUCUUGCUCCAAUGUUCAUCCUUCUCCAAGCUAGGCCCUUCAUUUGUAAGCAAAACAAAUGUAUCCAAUUUAGGCAGCAUCAUAUUCUCAUGAACAUUAGAAUCAUUACCAAGAAACGAAAGUACCUGGUAAUUUAGUUGGCAUGCGCGAGCUCUAGUAAUUGGUCCAGUAUGUAUAGCAGCAGGGGCUGUGGGUGUAACAAUUGUAUUGAUGUCCUCAUCAAGAAUGAUGAGGUGGAUAGCGAUGAUGAGAUCAUCGAUUCAGAGUUUGAAGCAUUGCAAGCUUCCAGAGAAAGUGAAGUGCAUGUGGAACGAUUUUAUGCCCCAGAUUCAAUGCCGGACUCGGUACCCCCAGGAAUGGAAUCAUAUAGGGAUUUCAUACUGAAGUCCUUGAUGACAUCGUAUGAUCCAAAGAUGAUGAAGAAAUGACCACAUAGUCAGUGACGCAACUACUCUCUGCUUAGCACUAAUUAUUUGGUGUGAUUUCAUAAAUUGUCAAUGUGCCCAAAGUCUUUUUUUUAUUGGAUGAGUUUGUUAAGUGACAUCAUACUUUGGCAUGAAUGAAGCUCAUUUUGUUGCUUACUGUUACUUGCAACGUUCUACUCUCAAAGCAAUAGAUAAGUCGAAGUCAUGGAGUAAUAAAAAUCACCAAAAAAAUAACAACAAGUUCUUUUAAGGUUACUUGAUGGCAUGGAGUAAUAAGCAUCAGAAAACAAAGAACGACUUUGCUGAGAUUAUGAAUAAGGCUACAAGUACAGUACGAGUAUGUUUAAAUUCAUGACUGUAUAAAUAACGAAGUCGCUAAGAUUAUUAGUGAUAACAAGCCACAAGAAGUACAUCAAGCAUCUGGAAGGGCUUCAAUAGCAGCAAUUAGAACAUCAGCAUCGCAGGGUACUACGUUCGGAAGCAUUUCGAGUGCCGCCAGAAAUGACUUCCUCAUGUGCGGAACCUUGUACCAGUUACCUCCUUUCUGCUUCUGUACCUCGCACAUGCAUGACUGAAGGGUAAGAAAAAUACGGUUGCUUCUCUCAGCCGGGUACGUGUCAUAUGCUUUUUUCACCUUUGCAACAAUAUCAACAAUUUUACCAGGGGACAUCUUCUCAAAAAGAGCCUGAAGUGCAGCAAAGAACCCUAAGUCAAGAAUGUUCAAAUCAGGUGAGUUCGGCGGCUGACAUGUAAGGCUAAUAUCCCAUCCAUCCGCCUGUGCUGCUGCACAAAACACAUUGUCAUUCACAGCAAUAUGGUUCUUUGCAUUAUCUUGCUGAAUGUAUAUUAUGCGUCCGCGUUCCGAAGCCGGCCACAAAGCCUUGAUGGUAGGUAGAAGCUUGUUCACCAUGUAAUCUCUACUGACAUCCUUCAUCAUUGAUGGCAAAACCUUGGUUACCUCUUCCCCCCUCUCUUGGUAAGGGCCACGCCUCUUAGCAAAGUCCUGAUAUGUGAACGGACAAAUUCCAAUCUUGCCAUCAAAUGUCAUGACACCAUGAUCAUCAUAACGUGGCCUUGCUACUGCUGCCAAGAACAUCACUUUCUCGAUAAAUCCCUUGCUCUGUGUAUUUCAAUAGGGUUCUUCUUCAUCAGGUGCCAAGUAGUAGUUCUGGGGACCUUUAGUGUGGUACAACCACUUCUCAUCAAUGUGAAUGACAUUGUACAUGCCUUUAAAUCUGGGUUCUUCAGGCACACUUAGCUCAUCCAACAUGGAUAAACAAAACCGAAUCCGACCCACCUUGUUGUCAUCAGUCAAUGUGGAUUUAAUUGAAUUUGUAUGGCGCUUCAGUCUGCCCUCCUUCAACCUUCUCCAUAAAGUUGUCUUUGCCAUUUGAAGCUCAUUAGCAAGAUCUUUGAGCGUAGUUCUUUUGCUCAAUUCAAUCUUUUUAUGGCAUCUGAAUCAAACGGUAUCUUCUUGGGGCCACAAGUUUUCACCCUUUUGUUUGCUACUCCAUGAAUACCACCGACUUUCUUGCCUCUCGACCAUAUGUUUUGAACAGUCCGGUAAUUAACUUGACAAAGCUCUGCCACCUCGUAAACCACCCCUUGGUUUAGUAUGCCUUGAUUUGUCCGCUCUUAUAGCAUGGCAUAAAUUUCUUGCUUUUGAUGGUCCCGGUACCAUCUUCGCUUCUUUUUUUGACUAGCAUUAGAGCCUACAGAAUAUUCAGAACAAGGACUGAAUUACUUUCAGCUAAAAUUAACUAACAUUCUCUACAAGUUAACAUGAAUUUAGUGCCACAGAUUACUCACAAUGACAUCAGACAAGGACUAACUGAAAUAACUCAUGCAGAAGACUAACUAUUGUUGCUGCCGGUGUCAGCUACUUCAGCUUGUACUCCAGGGUCACUCUCUGGAACACACCUUUGUUCAACUCCACACGGAUGCAUGGGUAAACGUUGCCGGCGGGGCUGGUUGCAUCAUUGCCGCUGCCAUUUUCUGAAGAUGGAACACUUUCUGUACAGUCACCUUGGUUAAUGUCGAUUGGGCUGGCUGCAACAUUGCUGCUGCCAUUUAGCAAAGAUGGAACAACUUCGGUACGGCCGCUUUGCCACUUCAUCAAAGCCGGGCCCAUUCUGUUGCGACCAACCAAGCCCAAGCGUCGAUGACCAUGUCGAGCGUCAUUGGCGUCCCCGACGGCAUUGUCGUCACCUCCACGGGCACGCCCGACGACAGGACUAGCUAGUAGCACCGCACGCACGCGUUUAAGCAAGACAUCAUGUGCACCACGAGCACGUCCGAGGCCCGUGUGCAUACUGGCAGCUUCUUCCACUUUCGAGCCAUCGCAUCCACCAGCAGCAUCUUCUCCAUGGCCCGAGUCGUGUGCGGACAUAGAACUUGCCGCAUCAACUCCUUGGUCACCGGUGGUGAUGUUCACAAGAUGGUAGGGAACAUGACAACCGUUCCCUGGAUGAAUACUUCACCGGUCCGGCGCGCACGAGAAUCUAUAAGAACAUGUUCACCGUCGAAGAGAUACGCCCUGGUGGUACCAAGCUGGAUCGCCCCCGGAUAGAAGGUCUUCCUACUUCUGAGCGAAACCAUCAUGCAAAACGACACCGGCCACCACUACUCUGCUGGAUUCACCGGCGGCUUGCACUGUAUUCCAUCCUCAGCGUGGCCUCGUCCAGCAGCGCCUCGGCGAUCGACUUGACCAGAGAUGGUGACACAACGGGUCAAGUACUACCCCGAAGUACAUGAUCUAGUUCAAGUAGUAUGGAAUACAUACAGUACGUAUACCUGUGAAGCCUCCGUUGCGUCCACUGCAUGGCCGGGUCUGUUUGCAUGUUGGCCUCACGCGCGUCCCCGCCCCUCGGCGCGUUGGCCGUGGCCGUCCCCAUGUCCAAGCCCCCCGGCGCGUUGGCCGUGCCCGCGUCCGCGCCUGCCUGCGCCUUGGCGGUCCCCGCGUCCGCGCCCGCUGAUGCGUUGGCCGCGCCCGGCGUCUUCCGCCGGCAUGCAUACGUCAAGUCGCCCGUGCUCCGCAGAAGCAGCUCACGUGUAUUCAAGGAGGUCCUCCUCAUCGUUGGCUUCUUUGCUGGCAUGGAGUCGAUCAUGCUCGCCUCCAUUGCCGUCAUGGAGGGAAUGCUCAACUUCUACAUGGAGCCCGCAAUGAAAAAAUUAUCCCGCUAUUACUGCAAAAAGGUGAGAUUGCACAAGAACAUACCGUCGCCGGAGCCAUCGGAAACUAGCCAGUCAUAGUCGUAUCCAAGAUCACAUGCCCGGUCUUCUUUCUCCUCAAUUGAAUCCCAAUUAGGUGUUGGAUGCAAGUCUAGAUCAACCAUGUUUUCUGUUGGCCACGUACUGGAAGAAGGGGGAAAUGAAGAAAACCAGGGGAGUUCACUCAUUUUGUACACGAGAACAUAUUUUAAAAUCUUCAUUCUGUUGGCGCCAAGUGACUUCCCUCCCUUUUUCUCAUUACCGCGCGAGCUCAUUUUUCUAUAGGAGGCAACAGAGUUAUUUGCAUCGCUGAUUUCUUGGGAUACGGGGAUUGCAUGUGCCAUGCAAGGUCGGCAGCGUAUCUACAUGCAACGGCCAAAUCAGUGGAAGUUCACCUAAUUUAUUUCCAACGCUAAGCUAAUACCAGGGGUAGUAUUGUCCCAGAUGCUCCAAAAGAAAAGAACAAAACUAACUCCAUGUAUUGUUGUUCUUGAAAACCAAAACGAAUCUCGCUGGGUUUUUUUUCUCUCCAAACACCAAGUGUACCUCACAAGGACACGUCCCCAAGAACAACUAGUCAGAUUUUUGUUCCUUUGUAUUCUGCUAUGUGACGAAGAUGUAAUGAUGGCAAAACAACUGAUGGAUGACGCCGAUGAAACAACUGAUGGCUGGUGAUGAUGGCGACAGCGGCGGCAAAGAAAAUGAAUGGCAGUGGAAAACGAAAGCGCAUGACAAAAACGUGACCAGAACUCAAAACUCUAAAAGACUAGAUACUAAAACCAGCAACUCGACACACGAUGCAAACGAAAAUUCAACAAUGCAAAAACUAAGUGGUAAUGGCGAAAAGGCUCGGACUGUUUGGGACACUGAUGAACUAAUCUAACUUUUUUUUGGCUUUUCGUGAACUGUCGGUAUGAAUGGCAGAUGCGAUCUAAACUAUGAACAACUGUAAAAACUCACCAAGCAACCUGAAAACUGAUACCACUUGAUAGAGGCGGGGUGUCCCGGUCUUUCGAUUAGAUCAUAACUAUCGAUUUGGUGGAGACAACUUUGACGAUCCGACUACAAAUGUGCACGACGUUGCACCUUAGCAAUCACUAAACUAAUAUCCUGAGGUUACUGACGAUGCCGGAAGCACGGUCAACCUGACCACGAAGGUCUAUUCCUGCAAGCAAUCGAAGAACGGGCAAGAAUAUGAUAAAGCAAUCUGAAUAUUGCGAGUAUAUAUGGAGUAUUGAUAAUGGUGGGGAUCCGUAAGCGGUCUUGGUCUGGUCGUUGGACACAAACGAAGUACACGAAGUUGCAAUGACUAACUUUUAGCUAAACAAAUCCCAGGUCUAAACGAUGCUUUAAGGGCUAUAUUUAUAGGGAGAAGAGAGGGGAUUUUGUCCACCCUUGGCAAGGUGGGACUAAAAUACCUCCUAAGUCCUUUCCCCUACAAAAUGGACUCUAAAAAUAGAUUACAUGGGCCUGGCCCGAAGUAAGGUGGUUCCACACCUAUGGAUGAAAUUUAUGAAAUGCCAUCUUGUAUAUUUCGUCCAUCUUCUUGUGUGUCAUCAUGGUGGCUUCAAAGUCCGAAAACUCCAAUUGAACCUCCGUUCUUGUUCUCUUUGCAUGCACCUUCAUCUCCGUGCUUGACCAUGCUCCAAUGUUCAACCUUCUUGUCCGUGCUAGGCCCUUCAAUUGCAAGCAACACAAAUGUAUCUAAGUUAGGCAGCAUCAUAUUCUCAUGAACACUGGAAACACUACGAAGAAACGAAAGUACCAGAUAAUUUAAUGGGCGUAUCUGAGUUCUAGCAACUGUUCCAAGAGGUAAAACAACAGGGGAUAUGAGUGUAACUAUGGUAGCCAUGUCCACAUCAAUAUGGAGAUCUUGUUUGGUUGCAUUUGUGUAAGGAUAGAUUUCCUGAUUUGCGCAAAUUAAAGCUAAUGCCACGUGCUGAUGGUCUCUUUAAGGUGUUAUAGAGAAUAAAUGAUAAUGCAUAUAAACUUGAGCUGCCUGCAGAUUUUGGGGUUAGUCCCACUUUUAACAUUGCAGAUUUGAAGCUUUACUUGGGUGAGCAAGAUGAACUUCCGUCGAGGACGACUUCAUUUCAAGAAGGGGAGGAUGACGAGGACAUCAAUACCAUUGUCACACCCACAACCCCUGCUGCUAUACAUAUUGGACCAAUUACUAGAGCUCCCGCACAACUAAAUUAUUAGGUACUUUAAUUCUCAAAAAAAAAUUACCAGGUACUUCUGUUUCUUGGUAAUGAUUCUAAUGUUCAUGAGAAUAUGAUGUUGCCUAAAUUGGAUACAUUUGUUUUUCUUACAAAUGAAGGGCCUAGCUUGGAGAAGGAUGAACAUUGGAGCAAGAACAAGCACGGAGAUGAUGGCAUGCGCAAGGGGAACAAGAAUGGAGUUACAAGUGAUGAUUUUAGGGCUUUGAAUCCACCAUAACGAGUGCAUGAAGCCUUGGACGAAAUAUACAAGAUGUCACUUCAUUAAUUUCGUCCAUAGGCUAUUCUAGGUGCUGCGUCACCUUUUUAUUGGGCCAGGCCCAUGUAAUUUUGAAAUACAUAAGUAUAGGCUAUUUUUAUAGUCCGUAUGUGUGGGGAAACAAGAUAUAGGGUUCGGACCCCUCCACCAAGGGCCACAAAAUUCUCCCCUCUUCCUCCAUAUAUACAGCCCUUAGGGCACCGUUUAGACUUUGGGUUUUGUUUAGAUUGAAAGUUCGUGAUAGCUGCAACUUCGUGUACUUCGUUUAUGUUCAACGACCAGACAAAGGCGUCAUAGAACCCCACCUUCAUUAAUAAAGCUUUCCUCUGUUAUUCGCAAUAUCCAGAUUGCAAUCUUAGUUUCUUGCUUGUUCUUUGUUUGCUUGCAGGAAAUAGACCUUCGUGGUCAGCUUGAUCGUGCUCCGGCGUGGUCAAUAACCUCUCGGAGUUGGUUUAGUGAUUGCUAAGGCGCGACGUCCUCGCACAUUCGUAGUCGGAUCGCCAAAGCCGACUUCCACCAAAACGAUAGCCACCAUCUCAUCGAAAGAGGGGACACCUUUGCCACCAUCAAUUGUGAUGCAAGUGGUACCGGAAUUCGCGGAGUUUUGAUGAAAGAAAAACGAGCCAUUGCAUACUUUAGUGAAAAAUUCUCUGGUGCUCAACUUAACUACCCCAUCUAUGACAAAGAAUUGUAUGCUUCAGUGCGUGUGCUACAUGUUUGGGAGCAUUACCUUUGACCUCAUGAGUUUGUCAUCCAUACCGGUCAUGCAACGCUUAAGUACUUAAAAGGUCAAACUAAGUUGAACAAGCGUCAUGCCAAAUGGAGUGAAUUUAUUGAAUCUUUCCCCUAUGUGAUCAAGUACAUUAAGUGUAAGGAAAAUGUAGUUGCGGAUGCACUUUCACGCAUACGCAUGCUUGUCACUAAACUUGAGUUGAAUGUUGUUGGCUUUGAGCACAUCAAAGACUUGUAUGCUAAUGAUCCAUCUUUUGCUACUCCUUAUGAUAAAUGUUUGACGCAUACAUCUUGGGAACGAUAUUACAUCAAGGAUUAUUAUCUUAUGAGAGCUAAGAAACUUUGCAUUCCCGAGUCUUCUCUUCGUUUGCUCCUUUUGCAAGAGGCUCAUGGAGGUGGACUCAUGGGACAAUUUGGACGCGACAAGACAUUCGCCACGCUCUCUAAGAACUACUUUUGGCCCAAGAUGUUCUGCGACGUCUCACGCUUCACCAAUUGAUGCUCUACAUGUCGCAAAGCUAAGUCUAAAGCUCAAUCCCAUGGUCUUUACAUGCCUCUUCCUAUUCCUUAUCAACCUUGGGAAGACAUUAGCAUGGAUUUUGUACUUGGUUUGCUUAGAACUCAAAAUGGCAAGGAUUCCGUGUUUGUUGUUGUGGACAGAUUUUCUAAGAUGGCACAUUUCCUCCCAUGCAACAAGAUAGAUGAUGCUUCACAUGUUGCCAAUUUCUUUUGUAGGGAAAUAUUGCGACUCCAUGGAGUACCAAAGACAAUCGUCUCCGACCGCGACGUCAAGUUCUUGAGUUACUUCUGGAAGACGCUAUGCGCCAAGCUCGGAAUCAAGAUCUUGUUCUCAUUCGCAUACCAUCCUCAAACCAACGGCCGAACGAAGGUGACGAAUCGUAUGCUCUCCAAUCUACUCCGCGUGUUGGUCAAGAAGAACAUCAAGGAGUGGGAGGCAUGUCUACCCAUCACCGAGUACGCCUACAAUCGGGCAAGACAUUCGACGACCAAGAAGUCCCCCUUCGAGGUCGUCUACAGCUUCAACUCGUUGCCCCCAUUGGACAUUCUACCUCUUCCACUACAAGAGCGCACCAACAUGGAUGCGAGUGCACGAGCAAGCUACAUCAAGAAGAUGCACGAGGAUACAAGGCACACCAUCGAGUGCCAAGUACAACGACUCACGACGAAGCUCAACGUCAACAAGCAACCCAUGAUAUUCAACAUUGGAGAUCUCAUGUGGCUACACCUUCGCAAGGACCGCUUCCCCAACGAACGCAAGUCCAAACUUCUACCUCGAGUCGAUGGAACUUUCAAGGUGCUAGCAUGCUACAACAACAACGCUUACAAGAUCAAUCUCCCAUGCGACAAGUACAACAUGAGCGACAUCUUCAAUGUCAACAAUCUCUCCUCGUACCAUGGUGAUGAGGAUUUCGAUCCGAGGUCGGAUCUUUCCCAAGGGAGGGGAGAUGAUGCGGAGCAUCCUAUGGUCAUCCCCAUGAAUCUACCAUUGUCUCACCAAGCACCAAGAGGACCCAUGACAAGAGCCCGAGCUAGAGCUCUCGAGACCGAGGUGACUUCUCUCCUUAGUGAUAUCUCAUAUGAUCCUCUCGAGACAUGGCUACUACCUAAGUCCGAAAUGUUGUGCAUGAUUAGGUACCAAGAGGACCCUCCCGAGGAUGCACGUGAAGAUGGUCAAGCCACCAAGUCCACGGAAGAAGAGAACCAACGGAAGAAGGCUAGGACAGCUUCCAGGAACCGGACAUCCGGCCAUGGCCCCGGACAUCCGGCCCCUGGAGAUCUACCCCUCACCCACGGGUCUAAAGCAGAAGCUACAGGGCCCGAACAUCUGGCGUCCAGCCCACACAUCCGGCCUCUAGCCCGGACAUCCGGACACGGCAUCCAGGGAGCAUAGAAGGCUGCCACGAUGGCUCGGACAUUCGGCCAUCACCCCGGACAUCCGGCUCCUCCCGAAGCCCCGGACAUCCGGCCCCUCUGCCCGGACAUCCAGCCCUGUCUAUCCAGAGAGCAGCAAGGCCGACUCCACCAGCCCGGACAUCAGGCCCGACAGCCAAGAAAUCCGGCCCCUCGUGAGUGCCCGUACAUCCGGCCCGACGACCAGACAUCCGCCCCCCUCCUGCCCGCGUGCAGCGCCUCCGGACCGAGGCCCAUGUAUCCCUUCACCCCUUAGACUAUAUAUACUCCCUCGCCACCUACGUUUUAGGGUUAGCAUUGGUUUAGCUCAUUUGAGAUAGAGCUUUGCUCAUCCACACGGAUCUACUCCUCGUUAGGGACUGACACCUCCAUCCGGAGAAGAUUCACCUAGAUUCAAGACCUCCAUCCGGAGAAGACCAUCAAGACCUCCUCACGGAGAACAACGGUUACUCUUGUAUUGUCCCUUGUUGACUUUGGAUCUCGUGUUACUUUGUGCCUCGAUGAUCUAGCACAUGUGUGAUCAUAUUCGUGUUGGUUGAGUGUUUUCUCUUGCGUUUCCCCGUGAUUUCCCUCGUUCCCCUCCACGCGUUCUUCGUGUUCCUCGUAGGGAUCCUCUCCAAACGUGAAAGAUCGUCCCCUAGGGUUCCGCCCUACAUCACUUGAGGUAGUCGUCCAUCAAACACUCCCACUCUAGGUACUCCUCGAGUUCUUGAGUCCCAUAGAAAGGAAUCUUGUGGUCGGUGUCGAGGUCAUAGUAGCUCGUGGAAGUCGCGGACUUGAGCUUGGGGAGCUUCUCUUGAGCAUAGUCUUGGGGUGCUUGUUGGCUAAGAUAUCGUAUGUCCAUAGGCGAAGAUGCCUUGAAGUCGCUUGGCGAAGAUGCCAAGGGAGAUGGUGAAGUCAUUGAGCGGUAGUUGGUGUUGAGAUCUUGACCUGCACGUUCUUGUUGGUGAUGGUAUCAUUGAGGCAAACAUGUCCCGUCUUUCAAUGAGAUGAUGGAUAUCACUUUGGUGGAAGUCGAUUUUGACGAUCCGAAUACGAACGUGCGAGGACGUCACGCCUUAGCAAUCGCUAAACCAACUCUGAGAGGAUAUUGACCACGCCGGAGCACGAUCAACCUGACAACGAGGGUCUGUUUCCUGCGAGCAAACGAAGAACAAGCAAGAAACUGAGAUUGCAAUCUGGAUAUUGCGAAUAUAGGAUGAAAGCUUUAUUGAUUAAGGUGGGGUUCUGUGACGCCUUUGUCUGGUCGUUGAACACAAACGAAGUACGUGAACUUGCAGCUAUGUCGAACUUUAAUCUAAACAAAACCCAAAGUCUAAACGACGCCCUAAGGGUUGUAUAUAUGGAGGAAGAGGGGGGAAUUUCGUGGCCCUUGAGGGAGGGGUCCAAAACAAACCCUAACUCUUGUUUACCCAUACAUACGGACUCUAAAAAUAUCCUAUAAUCAAGUAUUUCGAAAUUACAUGGGCCUGGCCCAAUAAUAAGGUGAUGCAACACCUAGAAUAGCCUCUGGACGAAAAUUAUGAAGUAGCAUCUUGUAUAUUUUGUCCAAGGCCUCACGCACUCAUUAUGGUGGCUUCCACGUCCUGAAAUCCUCACUUGUAACUCCAUUCUUGUUCCCCUUAUGCAUGUCAUCAUCUCCAUGCUUGUUCUUGCUCCAAUGUUCAUCCUUCUCAUAGCUAGGCCUUUCAUUUGUAAGCAAAACAAAUGUAUCCAAUUUAGGCAGCAUCAUAUUCUCAUGAACAUUAGAAUCAUUACCAAGAAACGAAAUGAUGAGGACAUCAAUACCAUUGUUACACCCACAACCCCUGCUGCUAUACAUACUGCACAAAUUACUAGAGCUCGCGCACGCCAAUUAAAUUACCAGGUACUUUUGUUUCUUGGUAAUGAUUCUAAUGUUCAUGAGAAUAUGAUGCUGCCUAAAUUGGAUACAUUUGUUUAACUUACAAAUGAAGGGCCUAGCUUGGAGAAGGAUGAACAUUGGAGCAAGAACAUGCAUGGAGAUGAUGGCAUGCACAAGGGGAACAAGAACGGAGUUACUAGUGAUGAUUUCAGGACGUUGAAGCCAGCAUAAUGAGUGCUUGAAGCCUUGGACAAAAUAUACAAGAUGCUACUUCAUAACUUUCAUCCAGAGGCUAUUCUAGGUGCUGCGUCAUCUUAUUAUUGGGCCAGGCCCAUGUAUUUUCGAAAUACUUGAGUAUAGGCCGUUUUUAGAGUCCGUAUGUGUGGGGAAACACGAGAUAGGGUUGGUUUCGGAUCCAUUUCCCAAGGGCCACGAAAUCCCCCCCUCUUCCUCCAUAUAUACAGCCCUUAGGGCGUCGUUUAGACUUUGGGUUUUGUUUAGAUUAAAGUUCGCCAUAGCUGCAACUUCGCGUACUUCAUUUGUGUUCAACAACCAGACCAAGACGUCACAGAACCCCAUCUUGAUCAAUAAAUCUUUCAUCUUAUAUUCGCAAUAUCCAGAUUGCAAUCUCAGUUUCUUGCUUGUUCCUCAUUUGGUCGCAGGAAACAGACCCUCGUCGUCAGGUUGAUCGUGCUCCGGUGUGGUCAAUAACCCCUCGGAAGUUGGUUUAGCUAUUGCUAAGGCGCGACGCCACGCACGUUCGUAGUCGGAUCGUCAAGAUCGACUUCCACAGAAAAUGAUAGCCACCAUCUCAUCGAAAGACGGGACACCUUUGCCUCUAUCAAGUGGUAUCAGAUUUCCAGGUUGCUCGCUGAGAUUUUACAGUUUUUCGUAGUUUAGAUCGAGUCUGUUCUUCAUACCUACAGUCCACGAAAAAGCCACACAAAAAAAUAUUAGGGUUCGUUCAUCAUAUCCGAACCAAUCUGAGCCUUUGCAUAAUCUUUUUAGGGUUUUGCUUUGUUGAAUUUGCGGUUGCAUCGUCGUGUCUAGUUGUUGGUCUGAGCGUAUAUUCCUUUAGAGUUUCGAGUUCUGUCACAGUUUGUCACGUCGCCGCCGCACCAUCUUCACCGCUGCCAUAUACCACCACCGCUGCCAUAUCCCACCAACGCUGCCAUAUACCACCGAUCCAUAUCCAUAUACCACCAUCGCUAUCAUAUACCAUCACCGCUGCCAUAUCCUACCACCAUAUAUCCACCACCAAUCCGAGUUCUUUUCGUAUUAGGUUUGUGAGGCGGAGCAUCCCUCGCUCAUCCCCAUGGACGUACCUACAUCUCCCUCAACACCACUUGGACCCAUGAAAAGAGCUCGAGCGAAGGCUAUAGAAGAUAAGGUGAACUCGCUCCUCUCCGUACUCCCUCUUCCUACUCACAGACUUGGCUACUACCUCAUACGAAGACUCUAUGCGUGAUCAGGUACUUGGAGGAGAGCCACGGGGCAGCUACAAUCAAUGGCCAAGGUGGCAAGGACACCAAGCAUGAACAUCAAGAGGAAGAGCUACUUUGGAAGCUACAGGCCCCGGACGACCGGCCAGGCACGGACUUCCGACCCCUGGAAUAUGCUACAGCCAAGAGAAGGAAUGCAUACCAGAGCUAUAGGCCACAGACGACCGACCGAGCCCGGACGACCGAACACUCCCAGGCUCCGGAAGACCGAGCCCCUACGGACGUCCGUGCCAACGACCAUAGAACAGAAAAUACGGUAAUCCAAAGGCUUCCGGAUGACCGUGCGCCUGUCAACAAAACCGAAUCUACGGUCAUCCGAAGAACCCCGGACGUCUGCGACCCCGCGAGCCUCCAGACGACCGGCGCCCCACGGCCGUCUGGAUCCUGGCUGCGUCCAGCUGUGGGCUGAGUCCCAUGUACCCCUUCACUUCGCCCCUCUUUUGCACUAAGACUAUAUAUAGACCACUCCCACCUCCUAGAUAGGGUCAGCAUUGUGAUAGCUCAUGUGAGAUAGAGCAUUUCUCAUCCGUACCGGAUCUACUCCACGUGAGGGACCGUGCCUCUUCGGAGAAGAUCCAUUCGGAUUCAAGGCCUCCAUCCGAAGAAUACAAUCAAGACCUCCUCAUGGAGAAGAACGGUUACUCUUGUAUCUUCCUUUGUUGACUUUGGAUCUUGUGUUACCUUGUGCUUUCGAUGAUCUAGCCCUUGUGUGAUCGAUUCCUUGUCGGUUGAGUGUUUCUCUUGUUUUCCCCCGUGAUUUCUCUCGUGUUCUUCCGCGCGUUCUUCGUGUUUCCCCGUAGGAUCCACUCCAAACGUGAAAGAUCGGCCCCUAGGGUUCCGCCCUACAUCAGUUUGUUUCCGAGAUCCAUCUAAUUUCCAAUUCGUGUUUCCUUGCAUGAGUAGGUUUCGAAAAAAAGAGUCUGGAGACCCCCGGGCAUUUUUUAGGCCAAAAUUUCAGCGACCAAAAAUAUUUUUCCCUAUCUUAUUUUUAGAUCCCAGGGAGUGUUUUGAGACAUUCGCCAUCAUAGUGAUUUUUUUUGCACUUUUUCGUAGUCGCUGCCCUAAUUUCUGAAAAAAAAAGUUGUCAAAAAAAAUAUCGUGCCUAUCCUGUCAGUUUGGCCUGGGAAGAGUUUUGAGACACUCGCCAUUAUAGUGAUUUUUCGCAAGAAAAAAGAGGAGCACAAAAAAACAGAGCGAAAAAAAUUUCCAUAGUGUGCUUUUUCCUUGUUUACGUGCAGCGUCGUGAUUUUGUGAGUGUUCUAGGCUCGCUUCUCUAGCACGGUCUAGCCUAGGACCAGCACAGUACCGUCGUUGAGCGUUUAUUCAACAUUGCAUAUCUGAAUUGAUUAUUGCUGACCCUUUUGCUACCAUAUUAUAAGCCUUCCCAGCUCCACAUACAUCUAGGUUGUGUGUUUGACUCUCCCUGGUAAUCGCUCUAUCCAAGCUUUGAGAGUUUUGACUACAACGGUUCUAGAUCACCGCCUGCUGCUGGGUAAGAACUAGUAAGAAUUUGAGUUUUUCUUGACGGAUUUGUGACACCCACCACCACCACUUGUUAGUAGUCUGUAGGAUCAAAUUCUUAUCUGUUUCUAUUGCUACUAACCAUGCCAGGAUCACAAGCCGACAAGAUUGACUGGGAGAACUUAACGAACAAGGAGCUUCAUGAUAAGUUUCAGCAAAUGAUGACUGAACAGGCGCAAGAUGUGUUGAACUAUUUUGAAGAGGCCAUGGAGAAGAUCACUGGCCUUGAGAAGACGUUCGAAACAAAGCCCAAUAAUAGAUUUAAUGAACUGCUUGCGCGUCUUCCACAACCGGCUGCACCUGCCGCACCUCUGCAACAACAACAACAACAACAACAACAACUACUACUACUACUACCUCCACGUCGCAAAACAGCCCUCCGCCGAGCGAGCCGCGUCCUUCUUCAGCGUGGCCAAACUGUUGGUGCUGCUGUUGAUACUUUUGUGGCUCCUGCUGCUGAUGUGGAGGAUGAUUAUGCGGGAGAUUACGAGGAUGAGGUUGAUCAAAAUCAGAACUACGUGCAACCACGAGCACCACAACCAACAGGUCGUCGACAUGCAAAUAAUCACAAUGGUAGGGCUCUCCCUCAGGUACGAGAUCAUGACCAUCUUCCUAAACUGAAAUUGAAUAUUCCACCAUUUGAGGGUAGAUAUAUAUAUCUUACUUGGGAGCUAGAAACUGAACAACGAUUUGCAUGUUUACAAUAUCCUGAGGUGAGACGUGUUCCUGCUGCUGUUUGUGCUUUCACUAGCUUUGCAUGUGUUUGGUGGUCUGAACAUUGUAGAUUAUAUCCUAUUCCAGCUACUCAGGCUGCUUCGAAAACUGCUAUGCGUACUCGUUGGGUUCCACCAUAUUAUCAACGUGAAUUAAUUCAAAAGUUGCAGUGUUUAAGACAAGGAAAAAAUUCUGUAGAAGAAUAUUAUCCGGAAUUACAAACAGGCAUGAUUAGAUGUGGUAUUGUUGAGGAGAAUGAAGCUAUGCUUGCACGUUUUAUGGGUGGAUUAAAUAGAGAGAUUCAGACCAUUCUAGAGUAUAAGGAGUAUACUAAUAUCACUUGUUUAUUCCAUCUUGCUUGUAAAGCUGAACUUGCAGUGCAUGAUCGACAGGCAUUGGUGCGAACUAACUUUUCUGCAGGUCGACCUUCAUCAUGGAAACCGCGUGCAUCUUCUAAUUCAACUGCACCAACACCUCCAUCAGGUGCCACCUCCAGCUGUGAUACAAGAAAGCAGGCACAACCACCACUAUCUGCCAAGAACACAACUGUCGGGCCUGCACAGAGCUCUUCUUCUUCCAUGGCAUCAACAGGGCACACAAGUGAUAUUAUUUGUCAUCGUUGUAAGGGAAGAGGACAUUAUGCGCGAGAAUGCAAAUCUCAGCGUGUGAUGAUUGCUACUGAGGAUGGUGGGUAUGAGUCUGCUAGUGACUAUUAUGAGGAGACUUUGGCCCUUAUUACAAGUGAAGAACACGGUGGAGAUGAUUCUGAUCAUGAGACGCAAUACAUGGCUCCUGAAUAUGCUGACAUGUAUGAAUGUUUAGUUGCUCAACGUCUUUUGAGUGUGCAGGUUACACAAGCUGAGCAAAAUCAGAGGCAUAAUUUGUUCCAUACAAAGGGAGUUGUGAAGGAACAUUCUGUGCGCGUCAUCAUAGAUGGAGGGAGCUGCAAGAACUUGGCUAGCAUGGAGAUGGUGGGGAAGAUAUCUCUCACCAAAAGACCACAUCCACAUCGUUACUACAUCCAAUGGUUCAACAACAGCGGCAAGGUUAAGGUAACACGUACUAUUUGUGUGCAUUUUAGUAUCUCUACAUAUGCUGAUUAUGUUGAUCGUGAUGUGGUACCUAUGCAAGCAUGUUCUUUAUUACUUGGUCGACCAUGGCAAUUUGAUAAAAAAUUCUGUACACCAUGGUAGAACCAAUCAGUAUACUCUUGUUCAUAAGGAUAAAAUUAUUACUUUGCUUCCUAUGACUCCUGAUUCCAUUCUGAAAGAUGAUGUUAAUAGAGCUAAUAAAGCAAAACAGGACAAGAAUGAGAGUGAAAAUCAGAUUGUGGCAAAAGACAUUGAGCAACAAAUGAUGCCUAAUAAUAAACCAUCUAGUGUUGCUUCUGAGAUUAAGCUAAAAAGUGCAUGCUUAUUUGCCACCAAAUCUGACAUUGAUGAGCUAGAUUUUAGCAGAUCUGUUUGCUAUGCUUUUGUGUGCAAAAAGGCAUUAUUUUCAUUCGAGGACGUGCCUUCCUCUUUGCCUCCUGUUGUCACUAACAUUUUGCAGGAUUUCACUGACGUCUUUCCACAAGACAUGCCACCGGGAUUACCGCCUAUUCGAGGGAUUGAGCAUUAGAUUGACUUAAUUCCCGAUGCUUCACUGCCAAACCGUGCGCCAUACCUUACCAAUCCAGAGGAGACGAAGGAGAUUAUGCGUCAAGUGCAGGAGCUUCUCGACAAAGGUUAUAUACGCGAAUCCCUUAGUCCUUGUGUUGUUCCUAUUAUUCUAGUGCCAAAAAAGGAUGGUAAAUCGCGUAUGUGUGUUGAUUGUAGAGGCAUUAAUAAUAUUACUAUUCAUUAUCGUCAUCCUAUUCCUAGGCUAGAUGAUAUGCUUGAUGAAUUGAGUGGCUCAACAAUAUUCUCCAAAGUUGAUUUGCGUAGUGGAUACCAUCAAAAUCGUAUGAAAUUGGGGGAUGAAUGGAAAACAGCAUUUAAAACCAAGUUUGGAAUAUAUGAGUGGUUAGUCAUGCCUUUUGGGUUAACUAAUGCACCUAGUACUUUCAUGAGACUAAUGAAUGAAGUUUUAUGUGUUUUCAUUGGAUGAUUUCUGGUAGUUUACUUUGAUGACAUAUUGAUUUAUAGCAGAUCUUUGGAGGAACAUUUGGAACAUUUACGUGAUGUUUUACUGCUCUACGUGAUGCACAUUUGUUUGGUAACCUUGGGAAGUGCACCUUUUGCACUGACCGAGUGUCUUUUCUUGCCUAUGUUGUUACUCCACAGGGAAUUGAAGUUGAUAAAGCCAAGAUUGAAGCUAUUGAGAGUUGGCCGCAGCCCAAAACGGUCACUCAAGUGAGGAGUUUUGUUGGCCUUGCUAGAUUCUAUAGGCGUUUUGUGAGAGAUUUUAGCACCAUUGUUGCACCUCUCAAUGAGCUUACAAAGAAGGAUGUGCCUUUUGUUUGGGUUACUGCACAGGAAGAAGCGUUCACGGUGUUGAAAGAUAAGUUGACACAUGCUCCUUUACUCCAACUUCCUGAUUUUAAUAAGACAUUUGAGGUUGAAUGUGAUGCUAGUGGAAUUGGAUUAGAAGGUGUGUUAUUACAAGAUGGCAAACCUGUUGCAUACUUUUCUGAAAAAUUGAGUGGGCCUAGUCUGAAUUAUUCUACUUAUGAGAGAGAAUUAUAUGCUCUUGUUUGGACUUUAGAAACAUGGGAGCAUUAUUUAUGUCCCAAAGAAUUUGUUAAACAUUCUGAACAUGAAUCUUUGAAACAUAUUAAAAGUCAAGCUAAACUCAAUCGUAGACAUGCUAAAUGGGUUGAAUUCAUUGAGACUUUCCCUUAUGUCAUUAAACACAAGAAGGGUAAAGAAAAUGUUAUUGCUGAUGCAUUGUCUCGUUGUUAUAGUAUGAUUUCACAACUUGACUUCAAAAUAUUUGGUUUGGAGACCAUCAAAGAUCAAUAUGUGCAUGAUGCUGAUUUUAAAGAUGUAUUACAGAAUUGUAAAGAAGGAAGAACAUGGAACAAGUUCAUCGUUCAUGAUGGAUUUGUGUUCCGUGCUAACAAGCUAUGCAUUCCAGCUAGCUCCGUUCGUCUUUUGUUGUUGUAGGAGGCGCAUGGAGGAGGAUUAAUGGGACACUUUGGCGUGAAGAAGACGGAGGAUGUACUGGCUACACAUUUCUUUCGGCCAAAGAUGAGACGGGAUGUCGAGCGCUUUGUUGCCUUUGCCUGUCAAAAAGCUAAGUCACAACUCAAUCCUCAUGGUUUAUAUAUGCCUUUGCCUGUACCUAGUGUUCCUUUGGAUGAUAUAUCUAUGGACUUUGUUUCAGGUUUACCUCGAACAAAGAAGGGGAGGGAUAGCAUAUUUGUUGUCAUGGAUAGAUUCUUGAAAAUGGCACAUUGUAUACCAUGUCAUAAAAGCGAUGAUGCUGUUAAUGUUGCUGAUUUGUUCUUUCGUGAAAUUAUUUGCUUGCAUGGUGUGCCAAAUACUAUUGUUUCAGAUUGUGAUGCUAAAUUUCUUAGCCACUUUUGGAGAUGUUUAUGGGCUAAGUUGAGGACUCAACUACUUUUUAGUAAUACUUGUCACCCCCAAACUGAUGGACAAACUGAAGUAGUCAAUAGAACAUUGUCUACUAUGCUUAGGGCUGUUUUGAAGAAUAGUAAGAAAAUGUGGGAAGAAUGCUUGCCUCAUAUUGAAUUUGCUUAUAAUCGUUCAUUGCAUUCUACUACUCAGAUGUGCCCUUUUGAAAUUGCGUAUGGUUUCCUACCUCGUGCACCUAUUGAUUUGUUGCCUCUUCCAUCUUCGGAGAAGGUUAAUUUUGAUGCUAAACAAUGUGCUGAAUUGAUUUUAAAAAUGCAUGAGUUAACUAAGGAAAACAUUGAGCGUAUGAAUGCUAAAAAUAAACUUGUUGGCGAUAAGGGUAGAAAACAUGUUGUGUUUCACCUGGAGAUCUUGUUUGGUUACAUUUGCGUAAGGAUAGAUUUUCUGAUUUGCGCAAGUCAAAGCUAAUGGCACGUGCUAAUGGUCCUUUUAAGCUUUUAGAAAAAAUAAAUGAUAAUGCAUAUAAACUUGAGCUGCCUGCAGAUUUUGGGGUUAGUCCCACUUUUAACAUUGCAGAUUCGAAGCCUUAUUUGGGUGAGGAAGAUGAGCUUCCGUCGAGGAUGGCUUCAUUUCAAGAAGGGGAGGAUGAUGAGGACAUCAAUACCAUUGUUACACCCAUAGCCCCUUCUGCUAUACAUACUAUACCAAUUACUACAGCUCGCGCACGCCAAUUAAAUUACCAGGUACUUUUGUUUCUUGGUAAUGAUUCUAAUGUUCAUGAGAAUAUGAUGCUGCCUAAAUUGGAUAAAUUUGUUUUGCUUACAAAUGAAGGGCCUAGCUUGGAGAAGGAUGAACAUUGGAGCAAGAACAUGCAUGGAGAUGAUGGCAUGCGCAAGGGGAACAAGUACGUAGUUACAAGUGAUCAUUUCAGGACGCUAAAGCCACCAUAAUGAGUGCAUGAAGCCAUGGACGAAAUAUACAAGAUGCUACUUCAUAACUUUCGUCCAGAGGCUAUUCUAGGUGCUGCGUCACCUUAUUAUUGGGCCAGGCCCAUGUAUUUUCGAAAUACUUGAGUAUAGGCUAAUUUUAGAUUCCGUAUGUGUGGGGAAACAAGAGAUAGGGUUGGUUUCAGACCCCUUCCCCAAGGGCCACGAAAUUCCCCCCUCUUCCUCCAUAUAUAUAGCCCUUAGGGCAUCGUUUAGGCUUUGGGUUUUGUUUAGAUUAAAGUUCGCCAUAGCUGCAACUUCGCAUACUUCGUUUGUGUUCAAUGACUAGACCAAGACGUCACAGAACCCCAUCUUGAUCAAUAAAGCUUUCAUCUUAUAUUCGUAAUAUCCAGAUUGCAAUCUCAGUUUCUUGAUUGUUCUUCGUUUGCUCGCAGGAAACAGAUCCUCGUGGUCAGGUUGAUCAUGCUCUGGUGUGGUCAAUAACCCCUCGGAAGUUGGUUUAGCGAUUGCUAAGGCGCGACGUCACGCACGUUCGUAGUCGGAUCGUCAAGGUCGACUCCCAAAAAAAUGAUAGCCACCAUCUCAUCGAAAGAAGGAACACUUUUGCCUCUAUCAACGUGGCGCAUUACUAUUGCCUGUGAUGUGUUCACUGUGGAGGUUAAAUGAUGGACGGCCGCAACUUAAUAGAUAACGGUUCGGAAAUAAUAAAAAAACACAGAUGAUCUAAUCCCGACCGUUUAAAGAAGAUCGGACAGCAGGGAGAAGUACUCACCUGAGAACCAAGUUGGGCAUCGUCGGGGUUGGAGAAGGACGGCGCCGGUGGCUCGGUGGUGACACGGGCGACGGCUACAGAUGGCCUCAGGCUACGCAGAUAUGACCUACGAGUGGAGAGCACGACGAAGAUGAAGUGGGUGACCUCCGACACAAGAUGAGGUGGGUGAGGCCUACCAUUUCUAACCCCAAAAUCAGGAAGCUCCAAUUAUGUCGGAGGUCACCCACUUCAUCUUCGUCGCGCUCUCCACUCGUAGGUCAUAUCUGCGUAGCCUGAGGCCCUCUGUAGCCGUCGCCCGUGUCACCACCGAGCCACCGACGCCGUCCUUCUCCAACCCCAACGACGCCCAGCUCGGUUCUCAGGUGAGUACGUCUCCCUGCCAUCCGAUCUUCUUUAAACGGCCGGGAUUAGAUCAUCUGUGUUUUAUUAUUAUUUCCGAACCGUUAUCUGUUAAGUUGCGGCCGUCCAUCGUUUAACCUCCAUAGCGAACACAUCACCAGCAAUAGUAAUGCGCCACGUUGAUAGAUGCAAAGGUGUCCCGUCUUUUGAUGAGAUGAUGGAUAUCGCUUUGGUGGAAGUCGACUUUGACGAUCCGACUACGAACGUGCGAGGACGUCGCGCCUUGGCAAUCGCUAAACCAACUCCGAGAGGUUAUUGACCACGCCGGAGCACGAUCAACCUGACCACGAGGGUCUGUUUCCAGCGAGCAAACGAAGAACAAGCAAGAAACUGAGAUUGCAAUAUGGAUAUUGCGAAUAUAAGAGGAAAGCUUUACUCAUCAAGGUGGGGUUCUGUGACGCCUUUGUCUGGUCGUUGAACACAAACGAAGUACGCGAAGUUGCAGCUAUGGCGAACUUUUAAUCUAAACAAAACCCAAAGUCUAAAGACGCCCUAAGGGUUGUAUAUAUGGAGGAAGAGGGGGGGAUUUCGUGGCCCUUGGUGGAGGGGUCCGAAAUCAACCCUAUAUCUUGUUUCCCCACACAUACGGACUCUAAACUAGCUUAUACUUAUGUAUUUCGAAAUUACAUGGGUCUGGCCCAAUAAUAAGGUGACGCAGCACCUAGAAUAGCCUCGGCACGAAAUUUAUGAAGUGGCAUCUUGUAUAUUUCGUCCAAGGCUUCAUGCACCCAUUAUGGUGGCUUCAAAGUCCUGAAAUCAUCACUUGUAACUCCGUUCUUGUUCCCCUUGCGCAUGCCAUCAUCUCCAUGCUUGUUCUUGCUCCAACGUUCAGCCUUCUCCAAGCUAGGCCCUUCAUUUGUAAGCAAAACAAAUGUAUCCAAUUUAGGCAACAUCAUAUUCUCAUGAACAUUAGAAUCAUUACCAAGAAACGAAAGUACCUGGUAAUUUAGUUGGCGUGCGCGAGCUCUAGUAAUUGGUCCAGUAUGUAUAGCAGCAUGGGUUGUCGGUGUAACAAUUGUAUUGAUGUCCUCGCACGUUCGUAGUCGGAUCGUCAAAGCCGACUUCCUCCAAAAUGAAAGCCACCAUCUCAUCGAAAGACGGGGCACCUUCGCCUCUAUCAAAACUUGUCAAUUUCUUCUGCCAAGGCUUGAUUAAUGAACCUACAAAUUCCCUCGAAUUGGAUCUGACUAAAUCCGGGUAUUGUGGACAUUCCCUCGUUUCCAUUCUGGAGCAUCUUAAUCUUAAGUUUCCUGUUUAUCAAAGAAAAAUACCAUUAUCAGCUCACUCUUCAUCAAUCCCUAUGGAUCGAUCUAGCAAUCAUGGAAUCUAUAUUCUGUUUACUGAAUCACAUGAAAUUCUAGGGAACUCAACAUACGUAUUUCAUAUAUGUAUUUCAUACAUAUGAAUAGAGACUGAUGAGGACAUGACUACCUUGGAUAAGACCAAAAAUAUUGCAUACAUGCAUAUUUAUCAGGUGAUUUCUAGUGCAAACUAUUCAAUAAUCUAUUUAUGUUAUCCAGAACAAAAAUACUUCACACACUUUUGUGUUUUGUCUAAUUGCAGGUGUAUGGGACAUUUGGACAAUCCAUAUAUGAAGAUAAGGGAAAAGGAGAAGUUUAGGUGCUGUUCAAAAAGUCCUCUCAUGUCACUUUUGGGCCAAGAGAAGAUAGAGUCCAAGUCUCUAAUGUGCUGGAUUCAGAUUCGAACUACAUAGACAUACCUGACUCAAAACGCCCACAAAAUUUUCAUACAGACUUCAAAUUGGGUGAUUCUUUUUUUUUGGAAACUAGAUUUCAUGCACUUUCCAACCCAAUUGGAAUCACCUUCAAAUUCGUCCGGAGCGUUGAGUCAUGGACGAAACAAUCUGAUGCUGCAGCAGAAUCUGAGUCAAACUACAAGUCGAAAGGUGUUACAUCAACUCCACUUGGGCCCAUUGGCCUUGUACGACCUAGAGUUAGUUUUAGGCUGCCUUGGGACGUCCUCCCACCUCCUUGGCCGCCACCCCUUGCUCCUAUAUAAGUAGAUCCAUCUAGUAGCUUUUCCCUUGGGAUUUGUUUAGUUAAAAGUUAGCCAACGCAACUUCAUGUACUUCGUUUGUGUCCAAUGACCAGACCAAGACCGCUUUUGGAUCCCUACCAUUAUCAAUACUUCAUCCAUAUUCGCAAUAUUCAGAUUGCUUUAUCAUAUUCUUUCUUGUUCUUCGAUUGCUUGCAGGAAUAGACCUUCGUGGUCAGGCUGAUCGUGCUUCCGGCAUCGUCAGUAAUCUCAGGAGAUUGGUUUAGCGAUUGCUAAGGCGCAACGUCGUGCACGUUUGUAGUCGGAUCGUCAAAGUCAUCUUCACCAAAUCAAUAGUUAUCAUCUCAUCGAAAGAUCGGGACACCCCCGCCUCUAUCAGACACCAUUUCGACAAAAGUUCGAGUUUGCCAGGGGAACAAAUGAAAUGAAAAUGAAUUGAUAAAACAUUCUGAUAGAGGUGGGGUGUCCCGAUCUUUCGAUGAGAUGAUAACUAUAGAUUUGGUGGAGACGACUGUGACGAUACGACUACAAACGUGCACAACGUUGCGCCUUAGCCAUCGAUAAACAACUCCGAGAGGUUAUUGACCACGCCGGAGCAUAAUCAACCUGACCACGAAGGUCUAUUCCUGCAAGCAACCAAAGAACAAGCAAGAAUACGAUAAAAGCAAUCUGAAUAUUGCGAGUAUAUAUGAAGUAUUGAUAAAGGUGGGGAUCCGUAAGCGGUCUUGGUCUAGUCGUUGGACACAAAUGAAGUACACAAAGUUGCAAUGGCAUACUUUUAGCUAAACAAAUCCCAAGGGAAAAGCUACUAGAUGGAUCUACUUAUAUAGGAGCAAGGGGUGGCGGCCAAGGAGGUGGGAGGACGUCCCAAGGCAGCCUAAAACUAACUCUAGUCGUACAAGGCCAAUGGGCCCAAGUGGAGGUGACGUAACACCUUUGGACUUGUAAUUUGACUCGGAUUCUGCUGCAGCAUCAGAUUGUUUCGUCCAUAACUCAACGCUCCGGGCGAAUUUUAAGGUGAAUCCAAUUGUUUUGGAAAUAGCACGAAAUCUACUUUCCAACAAAAAAAAUCGCCCAAUUCGGAGUCCGUAUGAAAAAGUUGUUGAUAUUUUGAGUCAGGUAUAUCUGUGCAGUCCGAAUCUGACUCCAGAACGUGAGAGACUUGGACUCUAUUUUCUCUUGGCCAAAAGUGACGUGAGAGAUCUUUUUGAAUAGCAAAUAAACAUCUCUUUCUUCCUUAUCUUCAUAUGUGGAUUGUACAAAUGUCCCAUACACCUGCAAUUAGACAAAACACAAAAGUUUGUGAAGUAUUUUUGUUCUACUCCAAACUCCCAAUGAUGAGGACAUCAAUACAAUUGUUACAUCCACAGCCCCUGCUGCUAUACAUACUGGACCAAUUACUAGAGCUCGCGCAUGCCAACUAAAUUAUCAGGUACUUUCGUUUCUUGGUUAUGAUUCUAAUGUUCAUGAGAAUAUGAUGCUGCCUAAAUUGGAUACAUUUGUUUUGCUUACAAAUGAAAGGCCUAGCUUGGAGAAGGAUGAACAUUGGAGCAAGAACAAGCAUGGAGAUGAUGGCAUGCGCAAGGGGAACAAGAACGGAGUUACAAGUGAUGAUUUCAGGACUUUGAAGCCACCAUAAUGGGUGCAUGAAGCCUUGGACGAAAUAUACAAAAUGCCACUUCAUAAAUUUCGUCCCGAGUCUAUUCUAGGUGCUGCGUCACCUUAUUAUUGGGCCAGGCCCAUGUAAUUUCGAAAUACAUAAUUAUAGGCUAUUUUUAGAGUCCGUAUGUGUGGGGAAACAGGAGAUAGGGUUGAUUUCGGACCCCUCCACCAAGGGCCACGAAAUUCCCCCCUCUUCCUCCAUAUAUACAGCCCUUAGGGCAUCGUUUAGACUUUGUGUUUUGUUAAGAUUAAAAAUUCACCAUAGCUGCAACUUCGCGUGCUUCGUUUGUGUUCAACGACCAGACAAAGGCGUCACAGACCCCCACCAUGAUCAAUAAAGCUUUCAUCUUAUAUUCGCAACAUCCAGAUUACAAUCUCAGUUUCUUGUUUGUUCUUCGUUUGCUCGCAGGAAACAGACCCUCGUGGUCAGGUUGAUCGUGCUCUGGCGUGGUCAAUAACCUCUCGGAGUUGGUUUAGCAAUUGCUAAGGCGCGACGUCCUCGCACGUUCGUAGUCGGAUCGUCAAAGUCGACUUCCACCAAAGCGAUAUCCAUCAUCUCAUUGAAAGACGGGACACCUUUGCCUCUAUCAAGUGGUAUCAGAUUUCCACAUUGCUCGGUGAGAUUUUACAGUUUUCGUAGUUUAGAUUGAGUCUGUUCUUCAUACCUAUAGUCCACAAAAAAGGCAAAAGAAAAAUUUGGGUUAGUUCAUCCCAUCCGAAACAAUCUGAGCCUUUGCAUAAUCUUUUCUGUAUUUUCUUUGUUGAAUUUGCGGUUGCGUCGUCGUGUCAAGUUGCUGGUCUUAGCGUCUAGUCCUUUAGAGUUUCGAGUUCUGUUCAUAGGUUGUCACGUCGUCGCUGCCAUAUAUCACCAUCGUAUCAUCAUCGUCGCUGCUGCCAUAGACCAGCACCACAUAUUCACCGCCAAUCCGAGUCCAUAUACGCCACCACAUAUCCGCCGCCAUCACGCCAAUCCGAGUUCACCUGCAACAUAUAUCCGCCACCAGUCCGAGUUCCACCAGAUUCAUCUCCGCCACCAGUCCGAGUUCCACCAGUUUCAUCUCCGCCACCAGUCCUAUUCCGAGUCUAGUAUUUUGUUACUCUGUUUUGGAUUUCCAGAUCACGCAAUACUCCGAGUCAUGACAGAGAAGGACUCUCCAACUUCCGUGCUACCCGCAGUAGAGAAAUAGUCUGGAAAAUUCUGGCUAGGCAGUUUUAGACCAUUUGCAGACUUUUUCAAAAAAAAUGUUGCAGAGCAAAAAAAAAGAGGAAAAAAGGAAAAAAAAGGAAAAAAAAAGAGAAAAAAAUUCAGAGUGUGCUCCUCCCUUGUUUACGUGCCGCGCCGUGAUUUUGUUGGUGUUCUAGGCUCGCGUCUCUAGCACAGUCUAGCCUAGGACCAGCACAGUACCGUCGUUGAGCGUUUAUUUAACUUUGAAUCUAUGAAUUAAUUAUUGCUAACCCUUUUUGCUACCGUAUUAAGCCUUCCUAGCUCCACAUACAUCUACGUCGUGUGUUUGACUCUCCCUCAUAAUCGGUCUAUCCAAGCUUUGAGAGUUUUGACUACAACGGUUGCCGAUCACCACCUGCUGCUGGGUAAGAACUGGUAAGAAUUUGAGAUUUGCUUGACGGGUUUGUGAUACACCACCACCACUUCUUAGUAGUCUGUAGGAUCAUAUUCUUGUGUGUUUCUAUUUGCUGCUAACCAUGGUAGGAUCACAAGCCGAUGAUACUGACUGGGAGAACCUGACAAACAAACAGCUACACGAUAAAUUUCAGCAAAUGAUGAGUGGACAGGUGCAAGAUAUGCUAAACAGAUUUGACGAGGCCAUGGAGAAGAUAGAUGGCAUGGAGAAGAUAUUCGAAACAAAGCUCUAUAACAAGUUUAAUGAAUUGCUCGUGCGUCUUCCACCACCACCACCCUCUGCACCUAACGUACCUCUCCAACAACAACAACAACGACGACUACCUCCACAUCGCGAAACAGCCCUCCGCCGAGCGAGCCGUGUCCCUCUUGCGUUUGGCCAAACUGUUGGUGCUGCUGUUGAUACUUCUGUGGCUCCUGCUGCUGAUGCGGAGGAGGAGGAUUAUGUGGGAGAUUACGAGGAUGAGGUUGAUCAAAAUCAGAACUACGUGCAACCACCUGCACCACAACCACCAGGUCGUCCACAUGCAAAUAAUCACAAUGGUAGGGCUCUCCCUCAGGUACGAGAUCAUGACCAUCUUCCUAAACUGAAAUUGAAUAUUCCACCAUUUGAGGGUAGAUAUGUUCCUGAUAUAUAUCUUACUUGGGAGUUAGAAACUGAACAACAAUUUACAUGUUUACAAUAUCCCGAGGAGAGACGGGUUCCCGCUGCUGUUUGUGCUUUCACUAGUUUUGCAUGUGUAUGGUGGUCUGAACAUUGUAGAUUAUAUCCUAUUCCAACUACUUGGGCUGCUUUGAAAACUGCUAUGCGUACUCGAUGGGUUCCACCAUAUUAUCAACGUGAAUUGCUUCAAAAAUUGCAGCGCUUAAGACAAGGGAAAAUUUUUGUAGAAGAAUAUUAUCAGGAAUUACAAACUGGCAUGAUUAGAUGUGUUAUUGUUGAGGAGAAUGAAGCUAUGCUUGCAUGUUUUCUGGGGGGAUUAAAUAGAGAGAUUCAGGCCAUUCUAGACUAUAAGGAGUAUACUAAUAUCACUCAUUUAUUCCAUCUUGCUUGUAAAGCUGAACGUGAAGUGCAGGAUCGACAAGCGGUGCGAACUAACUUUUCUGCAGGCCGACCUUCAUCAUGGACACCGCAUGCAUCUUCUAUUUCAACUGCACCAGCACCUGCCGGGCCACCUCCAGCUGUGAUACAAGAAAACAGACACAACCACCAUUAUCUGCCAAGAGCGCACCUGCCGGGCCUGCACAGAGUUCUUCUUCUUCCAUGGCAUCAACAGGGUACACAAGUGAUAUUAUUUGUCGUUGUUGUAAGGGAAGAGGUCAUUAUGCGAGAGAAUGCAAAUCUCAGUGUGUGAUUAUUGCUACCGAGUAUGGUGGGUAUGAGUCCGCUAAUGACUAUGAUGAGGAGACUUUGGCUCUUAUUACACGUGAAGAACAUGGUGGACAUGAUUCUGAUCAUGAGACGCAAUACAUGGCUCCUGAAGACGCUGACAGGUAUGAAUGUUUAGUUGCUCAACAUGUUUUGAGUGUGCAGGUCACACAAGCUGAGCAAAAUCAGAGGCACAAUUUGUUCCAUACCAAGGGAGUUGUGAAGGAACGUUCUGUGCGCGUCAUCAUAGACGGAGGGAGCUGCAACAACUUGGCUAGCAUGGAGAUGGUGGACAAGCUUUCUCUCACCACAAGACCACAUCCACAUCCUUACUACAUCCAAUGGUUCAACAACAGCGGCAAGAUUAAGGUAACACGUACUGUUCGUGUGCAUUUUCGUAUCUCUACAUAUGCUGAUUAUGUUGAUUGUGAUGUGGUAACUAUGCAAGCAUGUUCCUUAUUACUUGGUAGACCAUGACAAUUUGAUAAAAAUUCUGUAAACCAUGGUAGAAACAAUCAGUAUACUCUUGUUCAUAAGGAUAAAAAUAUUACUUUGCUUCCUAUGACUCCUGAUUCUAUUUUGAAAGAUAAUAUUAAUAGAGCUAAUAAAGCAAAACAAGAGAAGAAUAAGAGUGAAAAUCAGAUUGUGGCAAAAGAAUUUGAGCAACAAAUGAAGCCUAAUAAUAAACCAUCUCGUGUUGCUUCUGAAAUUAAAUUGAAAAGUGCAUGUUUAUUUGCCACCAAAUCUGAUAUUGAUGAGCUAGAUUUCAGCAAAUCUGUUUGCUAUGCUUUUGUGUGCAAAGAGGCAUUACUUUCAUUCGAGGACGUGCCUUCCUCUUUGCCUCCUGCUGUCACUAACAUUUUGCAGGAGUUCGCUGACGUCUUUCCACAAGACGUGCCACCGGGAUUACCGCCUAUUAGAGGGAUUGAGCAUCAGAUUGACUUAAUUCCCGGUGCUUCACUGCCAAACCAUGCGCCAUACCGUACCAAUCCAGAGGAGACGAAGGAGAUUAUGUGUCAAGUACAAGAGCAGCUCGACAAAGGAUAUAUACGCGAAUCCCUUAGUCCUUGUGUUGUUCCUAUUAUUCUAGUGCCAAAAAAGGAUGGUACAUCACGUAUGUCUGUUGAUUGUAGAAGCAUUAAUAAUAUUACUAUUUGUUAUCGUCAUCCUAUUCCUAGGCUAGAUGAUGCGGAACAUGCCUCGCUCAUCCCCAUGGACGUGCCUACAUCUUCCUCAACACCACUUGGACCCAUGACACGGGCCCGAGCUAAGGCUAUUGAAGAUAAGGUGAACUCGCUCCUCUCCAAACUUUCUCUUCCAACUCACGAGACAUGGCUACUACCUCAUUUGGAAACUCUGUGUGUGAUCAGGUGCCUGGAAGCGAGCCACGGAACAGCUACAUACAAGAGCCAAGACGGCGAGGACCCCAAGCAUGAUGGACAAGAAGAAGAGCUGCCGUGGAAGCUACAGGUGUCGAACGACCGACCUAGUCCGGACGUCCGACGAGUGCCAGGACACGGACGACCGAGCUUUCCGGACGUCCGGUACUUCGCCACCCGAACUAAAUCUACGGACGUUCGAAGCGGACCGGACGACCGGACGACAUGCAACCGAGCCGAAUCUACGGAUGACCGACGACCUCCGGAUGUCCGGACAGUCAUGAAGCUCCGGACGACCGACCAUCUCCGGACGUCCGGCGCGCCCAUGACAGAGCUGAGUCUACGGACUCCCGAGCAAGACCGGACGUCUGGACCGUCCCGAGCCUCCGGACGUCCGACGCCUUCUGGACGUCUGGCGCCUGUGUGACCGCACCUGCGGGCUGGAGCCCUUGUACCCCUUCACUUUGACUUCCAUUUGCACUAUGACUAUAAAUAGGUCGCCCCCUCCUCCUAGUUAGGGUUAGCAUUGGUUUAGCUCAUAUUUGUGUGAGAGCCUUGCUCAUCCACUUGGUUACUUCUCCUCGGAGCCCACGACCUCUUCGGAGAAGAUCCCCCAAGCGGAUUCAAGACCCCUUUCUAGGGAAGACUAUCAAGACCUCCGUACGGAGAAGAACGGUUCCUUUGUAUCCUUACCUUUGUUGUUUGUGGAUCAUAUGUUACUCUAUGUUGUCGGUGAUCUAGCACUCGUGUGAUUGAUUCUAUGUCGGUUUAGUGUUUUCUCUUCUUCUCCCCGUGUUUUCCCUCGAGUUAUUCCGCGUGUUCUUCGUGAUUCCCCGUAGGAUCCACUCCAAAUGUGAAAGAUCGUCCACAUAGGGUUCCACCCUACAUCAUCUUGGUAUCAGAGCCAGCUUGUCUCAUGAUAUCAUCUUGGUUUCAUGAGCCACGUUGAUCACGUUUUGGAGCCCCUACCCCGUGUUUUCUAGCUUGAUUUUGAUGUUUUUGUCCUAAAUCCGAAAAUUCCCCACCAAAAAUAGCCCCAAUUGUUUUGUGAUUUGUUGGUGAGUUGAGAUUUUGUUGGAUUUGGUCCAUGGAUUUGUGUUGCUACGUGUGGAUCUAGCUUCCCCCACCCUCCCCACCCUUUUCCAUCAGCCAAUCUACUCGAUUUCAACAUCACCAUCUUCUUCUUCCCCGGAAUUCUCGCAGUUCAUCUUCCCGAGCCCGAUUUUCACCCAUGCUCCGGACGACCGGACGACCGUAAAAGCCCGGACGUCCUUGAAACCCUGACGAAACUGAAUUUUUUCAGUUUGACCACUCCUCAACCCCACCUUCCACCACAACUCCCAAAGCCACAUACACCAACAUCUGCCCCGCUACCUCCUAUGUCGAUCUUGACACGUUUUGGUCUUUGAGAGUUUGGGUUGUGGUUUCCCGUAUCCUUUUGUGUUUCGGCUAUCUAGGUACGGUUCGACUUCAUCAACACCACGACUCAACUUCUCGAGGGUCUCAUCAUCGCCAAGGACGGUAACUUCGAUGACAUCUUUGUCAUAACUUGCAAUUGCAUUGAUAACCCACAUAGCUUACCCAUCGAGACUAGCGGUUGAGUAUUGCAGGCAACGCGACUUGUGCACAUUAGUGAUCAUACAACAUAGCAUACAUAUCAUAACAUAGUGGUGCAUAUCUUGGGAUCCGCUCGUGUGUCACAAAGUUGUCAUCGCAUACACAAUUGCUACUUUGGUUCGUGAGUUUUGCAUGAGAAAAUAGAUCAAAAGUGAAAGAGCCACCCAAGCUUUUAAGCAAAGAGGAAAGAUAAGCAAAGAGCUUAUAAGCAAGAACCAUAGAAUCAUACAACAUUAAGAUUCUCAUAUUCGAUCAUCUUGGAUCAUAGCACCGAAAUAUCAUACAUAUAGUAUACUUGGGACAGAGAUCAUGGCAUUUUUGCAUAGUAGGUUGUGCACAAGUUUGCGUGUCCGCCUAUUGUGCAAUCGUGCUAGCGUCUCUCUAGUAUUGUGCAACAAGAGCAUUUUUCAUGGUUUCCACAUUUUGGGCUCACUUUUGGAUUGCACAAUCCCAUUUAUCUAUUUGCGUGUGUGUUUCCGUGUACCCAUACUUGCUUGGUCUACUUGUUGCAUUUGCAAAUUUGUGAAUCUUUUCAACAUUAUUGAAGCUCACUUACUAUUGCAUCAAAUUUUGUGCCACCAUCCUAACCAAGAUCCACCAUAAAUUUUGUGAGAACCGACAAGAAUUGGUACCAAUAGUGCUAUUUCAUUGUCCGCAUUUGAGUGAACUUGAUUCAUCUUCAACUUCGGUCAAGGUAUAGUUGGUACACGUUCUUUUCCUUCUACCACUUACAUUUUGCUUGGAAUGAUGGAUAAGCCAAGUUCUUCUACCACUCCACCUCUCAUCGAGAAUGACGACGACAUGUCAUCAUUCAUCACCAAGAACCGGCUAUUUGGAGCUCAAAAAGCAUUGCACCAAGAGCAAAAAGCAAUGAGGGACUACUUUGACAACAAAUUCGACGCUCAAAAGCAAGAGAAUGAUGCAAGAAUGGAUGAGAUCCGCGCCUUCAUGAGGAAUCGGCGUCCUUCCACUUCUUCAUCCUCAAGACGGAGCCGCUCAAGUCGACACUCCGACGACACCUUCUCUGACUCAAGUACACCAUCAUCAAACACUCUUCGUCGAGCUGCGCGUCAAGACCGGCAAGCAUCUCGGAACCCGCUACAUGACAAGCAUUCACAAGAGCAAGUCGAUGAGAAAAUUCCUCGUCCUCAAUCAAACCAAGUCAUUUUUGCUCAAGCUCAAGAAUGGCAACGACUAAGGCGCGAAGAAGAAGAACGAGCCCGUCUACACCAAGAGGAACAAGACACCGAGGCUCAACGUCUUCAACAACAACAACAUGAAGCGCAAGCUCUUGAGGCGCAAUGUGCCCUUCGAGAUUCGAGCCGAGCCAUUGCCAACCGCAAUCGCGAGCGACACAAUCAAGAGGAAGCCCUUCGAGAAGAAAUCCAAGAGAGGAACUACCAACCGCAAGUGCAACGUCAAGUUCCCCAAGCUCCUCCACAAGCUAGUCAAGCUCCACUUCAACCUCAAGUUCAACAAGAGCAAGUUGAUCUUGGACUUCCUCCGUGCCAAGAGCAACAAGAGGAUGACUAUCCUCCACGUCAAGGGCGUCAUCAUCACCAUCGCCAACAACACAAUGAAGAGCAAUGCUAUGGCAAGCUCAAGUUCACAAUGGCCAAGUUCAAUGGAAGCAAUGAUCCGGAAGAGUACCUCUCAUGGGCAUUGAAGGUCGACAAAAUUUUCCGCUUGCACAACUAUGAGGAAGAGAAGAAGAUCGCUAUGGCAUCACUUGAGUUCCAAGAUUAUGUGCUCAUAUGGUGGGAACAAGUACUUGAACACCGUCAAGCAAGAGGUGAACCACCAAUCACCACUUGGGCUCAAAUGAAGGAUGUCAUGCGAGCACGCUUUGUACCAACCUACUACAACCGCGAUCUCUUCAAGAAGCUAAAACUCCUCAAGCAAGGAACAAAGAGUGUUGACGAAUAAUACAAGGAAAUGGAGAUAGCAAUGAUCCGAGCCAAUGUCACGGAAGAUGAUGAGCAAACAAUGGCAAGAUUUUUGAAUGGACUCAAUCAUCCCAUCAAGAAGAUCGCCGACUUCCAACCAUACUCCAACCUCAUUGAGCUCGUGCAUCAAGCAACCAAGGCAGAACGUCAAGUGCAAGAUGACUUCAAGUACGCCAAGUACUCAUCCAAGACCUACGGCUUCUCCAACAUCCAAGCUUCAAUGACUCCUUCAACAUCUACAUCAACCAAGCCUUCUCCAAGGAACGACGACAAGUCAAAUUACAAGAAAACUUCGGCAAGUUCAAGUCGUCUUCCUCCUACUACAAGCAACUUCAUGCCGCGUGCUUCAUCAUCUACUCCAACCGAUGAGACCGUCAAAACAAGCUCCUUCAAGUGUUUCACUUGCGGCGGCCGAGGCCACAAGUCCUUCCAAUUCACAAACAACCGCACCAUGAUCCUCAAUGACGAUGACACAUAUGACUCAAUGAGUGAAGAGGAGAUGGAAGCCCUUGAGCAAGUGGCCAUGCACUGGCGCGUGAACGAGGAUGAAGAUGAUCAAGUCUUUUGUGAUGAGGAUUCGAGAUCCGCUCUCGUUGUCUCCAAAGUCUUGACAUUUCAACAUCAACAAGCAGAAGACCAAUGAUGCCACAUCUUCCACACUAAGGCCGGCAUCAAUGGAAGGUCCGUCAAGGUCAUCAUCGAUGGAGGUAGUUGCCACAAGUUGGCAAGUGAAGAACUAUGUUCCAAGCUUCAAUUUGUCAAGAGGAAGCACCCGCACCCCUACAAGGUUCAAUGGCUAAGUGACUCCAGCACUAUAUGAGUCGAGCAUACGGUCCAAGUCUCCUUCAAAAUUGGUGCUUAUGAAGACACUUUGGAGUGUGAUGUGGUCCCAAUGACCGUUUGCCACCUACUUCUUGGUCAACCAUGGCAAUUCGACCGUGGUGUCAUCCACAAUGGGCGCACCAAUCACUAUAGCUUCAAAAUGAAAGGGAAGGAAUAUGUGCUACGACCUAUGUCUCCUAGUCAAGUGAUAGCCAACAAGCAAGCCACCAAUCAUGGAGAGAAGAGUGAAAAAGUGACACACCCAAAAGUGAGUGAGAGCCACAAGCCAAAUUUGAGCGCCUCUUCGCCUAGAGAUAAAAACCUCAUCCUAUUCGCCACCAAAAGUGAGAUAAGAGAAGUGUGUGAGAACCCAUCGAGUGUGAUGCACUUCGUCCUUGUGUGCAAAGAUGGAGAGCCAACAACUAACACCUCUCACGAGCUACCUUUAGUGUUUCAAUCUCUUUUGCAGGAAUUCAAAGAUAUUUUCCCCGAUGAGCUACCUCCGGGUCUACCUCCAGUACGAGUCAUUGAGCAUCGAAUCGACCUCAUCACCGGAGCGCCACUUCCAAACAAAGCUCCAUACCGUGUCAAUCCCGAAGAAACCAAGGAGAUUCAACGGCAAGUACAACAACUCAUCGACAAUGGUCAGGUACAUGAAAGCUUAAGCCCAUGUGCCGUUCCCGUUAUACUUGUGCCUAAACCCAACGGAAGUUUCCACUUGUGUUCCGAUUGUAGACCCCUAAAUGCCAUUACCGUUCGAUAUAGGCAUCCCAUUCCUCGCUUAGAUGAUAUGCUUGAUGAACUUAGUGGAGCCAACUUUUUCUCCAAAAUUGAUCUUAAAAGUGGCUAUUAUCAAAUCCGCAUUCAAGAAGGUGAUGAAUGGAAAACCGCUUUCAAAACCAAAUUUGGCUUAUAUGAGUGGUUAGUGAUGCCUAUGGGUUUGUCAGAAGCACCCGGAACUUUCGUGCGUCUUAUGCAUCACGUGCUUAGACCUUACAUUGGAGUCUUCGUUGUGGUUUACUUUGAUGAUAUCAUUGUGUUUAGCAAAACCAUGAAAGAGCACAUUAAUCAUGUUAAAUUUGUGUUGCAAAUCCUCCGCAAGGAAAGCCUUUAUGCGAACUUGAAAAAAUGCACUUUUGGCGUUGACAAAGUAGUUUUCUUGGGUUUUGUUGUCUCUUCCAAGGGUGUCCAUGUUGAUGAAACUAAGAUUAAGGCAAUUAAAACUUGGCCCCAACCCACCAAUUUGCAACAAGUGCGUAGUUUUCUUGGUCUUGCAGGAUUUUAUUGCCGCUUUGUGAAAAACAUUAGCACAAUUGCCGCUCCUUUGCAUGCCUUGAGUAAGAAGAAUGCACCUUUUCUUUGGGGAUCUUUGCAAUACACCACUUUUGAUGAGCUCAAGUCUUUGCUUACUCAUGCUCUAAUUCUUGCUUUGCCCAACUUUGAGAAAACUUUUGAAGUUCAUUGUGAUGCAAGUGGUACCGGAAUUGGCGGAGUUUUGAUGCAAGAAAAACGAGCAAUUUCUUAUUUUAGUGAAAAACUCUCCGGUGCUCAAGUUAACUAUCCCAUCUAUGACAAAGAAUUGUAUGCUUUAGUGCGUGUGCUACAUGUUUGGGAACAUUACCUUAGACCUCAUGAAUUUGUCAUCCAUACCGAUCAUGAAACGCUUAAGUACUUAAAAGGUCAAACUAAGUUGAACAAGCGUCAUGCCAAAUGGAGUGAAUUUAUUGAAUCUUUUCCUUAUGUGAUCAAGUACAUUAAGGGUAAGGAAAAUGUAGUUGCGGAUGCACUUUCACGCAUAUGCAUGCUUGUCACUCAACUUGAGUUACAUGUUAUUGGUUUUGAGCAUAUAAAAGACUUGUAUGAGCAUGAUCCUUCUUUUACUACUCCUUAUGCUAAGUGUUUGACACACACGUCUUGGGAAUGAUACUACAUAAAGGAUGAUUAUCUUAUGAGAGCUAACAAACUUUGCAUUCCCAAGUCUUCUCUUUGUUUGCUACUUUUGCAAGAGGCUCAUGGAGGCGGACUCAUGGGACACUUUGGACGCAACAAGACAUUCACCACGCUCUCCAAGAACUACUUUUGGCCCAAGAUGUUCCAUGACGUCUCACGCUUCACCAACCGUUGCUCUACAUGUCGCAAAUCUAAGUCUAAAGCUCAAUCCCAUGGUCUUUACAUGCCACUUCCCAUUCCUUAUCAACCUUGGGAAGACAUUAGCAUGGAUUUUAUACUUGGUUUGCCUAGAACUCACAAUGGCAAGGAUUCCAUCUUUGUUGUUGUGGACAGAUUUUCUAAUAUGGCACAUUUCAUUCCUUGCAACAAGAUAGACAAUGCUUCACAUAUUGCCAAUCUAUUUUGUAGGGAAAUCUUGCGACUUCAUGGAGUGCCAAAGACAAUUGUCUCGGACCGCGACGUCAAGUUCUUGAGUUACUUUUGGAAGACCCUAUGCGCCAAGCUCGGAAUCAAACUAUUGUUCUCUUCGGCAUACCACCCUCAAAACGACGGCCAAACGGAGGUGACAAACCACACACUCUCCACUCUACUUCGCGUGUUAAUCAAGAAGAACAUCAAGGAGUGGGAGGAAUGUCUACCCAUCGCCGAGUACGCCUACAACCGUGCAAGACAUUCGACGAACGGCAAGUCACCCUUUGAGGUCAUCUACGGCUUCAACCCGUUGUCCCCAUUGGACAUUCUACCUCUUCCUCUACAAGAGCGCACCAACCUCGACGCAAGUGCCCAUGCAAGCUACAUCAAGAAGAUGCAUGAACAUACAAGGCACACCAUCGAGCGCCAAGUACAACGCCUCGCGACCAAGCUCAACGUAAACAAGCACCCCAUGAUGUUCAACAUUGGAGACCUAGUGUGGCUACAACUUCGCAAGGACCGCUUCCCCAACGAACGCAAGUCCAAGCUUCUCCCUCGAGCCGACGGACCUCUCAAGGUGCUAGCACGCUACAACAACAAUGCUUCCAAGAUGGAUCUCCCACACGACAAGUACAACGUGAGCGACAUCUUCAACGUCUCCGAUCUCUCCCCGUACCAUGGUGAUGAGGAUUUCGAUCCGAGGUCGGAUCUUUCACAAGGGGGGGGGGGAGAUGAUGCGGAACAUCCCUCGCUCAUCCCCAUGGACGUGCCUAAAUCUCCCUCAACACCACUUGGACCCAUGACACGAGCCCGAGCUAAGGCUAUUGAAGAUAAGGUGAACUCGCUCCUCUCCGAACUUUCUCUUCCUACUCACAAGACAUGGCUACUACCUCAUUCGGAAACUCUGUGUGUGAUCAGGUGCCUGGAAGCGAGCCACGGAACAACUACAUACAAGAGCCAAGACGGCGAGGACCCCAAGCAUGAUGGACAAGAAGAAGAGCUGCCGUGGAAGCUACAAGUGUCGGACGACCGACCCAGUCCGGACAUCCAACGAGUGCCAGGACACGGACAAUUGAGCUUUCCGGACGUCUGGUACUUCGCCACCCGAACCAAAUCUACGGACGUCCGAAGCGGACCGGACGACUGGACGACAUGCAACCGAGCCGAAUCUACGGACGACCGAUGACCUUCGGACGUCCGGACAGUCAUGAAGCUCCGGACGACCGACCCUCUCCGGACGUCCGACGCGCCCACGAAAAAGCUGAAUCUACAGACUUCCGAGCACGACCGGACAUCCGGACCAUCCCGAGCCUCCGGACGUCCGACGCCUUUCGGAUAUCCGGCACCUGUGUGACCGCACCUGCGGGAUGGAGCCCUUGUACUCCUUCACUUUGACUUCCAUUUGCACUACGACUACAAAUAGGUCGCCCCCUCCUCCUAGUUAGGCUUAGCAUUGGUUUAGCUCAUAUUUGUGUGAGAGCCUUGCUCAUCCACUUGGUUACUUCUACUCGGAGCUCACGACCUCUUCGGAGAAGAUCCCCCAAGCGGAUUCAAGACCCCUUUCUAGGGAAGACUAUCAAGACCUCUGUACGGAGAAGAACGGUUCCUUUGUAUCCUUACCUUUGUCGUUUGUGGAUCAUAUGUUACUCUAUGUUGUCGGUGAUCUAGCACUCGUGUGAUUGAUUCUAUGUCGGUUUAGUGUUUUCUCUUGUUCUCCCCGUGUUUUCCCUCGAGUUCUUCCACGUGUUCUUCGUGAUUCCCCGUAGGAUCCACUCCAAACGUGAAAGAUCGUCCACAUAGGGUUCCACCCUACAUCACUAGAUGAUAUGCUUGAUGAAUUGAGUGGCUCUACAAUAUUCUCCAAAGUUGAUUUGCGUAGUGGAUACCAUCAAAUUCGUAUGAAAUUGGGAGACGAAUGGAAAACAACAUUUAAAACUAAGUUUGGAUUAUAUGAGUGGUUAGUCAUGCCUUUUGGGUUAACUAAUGCACCUAGUACUUUCAUGAGAUUAAUGAACGAAGUUUUACGUGCUUUCAUUGGACGAUUUGUGGUAGUUUACUUUGAUGACAUAUUGAUUUAUAGCUGAUCUUUGGAAGAACAUUUGGAACAUUUAUGUGAUGUUUUUAUUGCUCUACGUGGUGCACGUUUGUUUGGUAACCUUGGAAAGUGCACCUUUUGCACUGACAGAGUAUCUUUUCUUGGCUAUGUUGUUACUCCAUAGGGAAUUGAAGUUGAUAAAGCCAAGAUUGACGCUAUUGAGAGUUGGCCACAGCCCAAAACGGUCACACAAGUGAGGAGUUUUCUUGGCCUCGCUGGAUUCUAUAGGCGUUUUGUGAGAGAUUUCAGCACCAUUGCUGCACCUCUCAAUGAGCUUUACAGAGAAAGAUGUGCCUUUUCUUUGGGGUACCGCACAGGAAGAAGCCUUCACGGUAUUGAAAGAUAAGUUGACACAUGCUCCUUUACUCCAACUUCCUGAUUUUAAUAAGACUUUUGGGCUUGAAUGUGAUGCUAGUGGAAUUGGAUUAGGAGGUGUGUUAUUACAAGAUGGCAAACAUGUUGCAUAUUUUUCUAAAAAAUUGAGUGGGCCUAGUCUAAAUUAUUCUACUUAUGAUAAAGAAUUAUAUGCUCUUGUUCGGACUUUAGAAACAUGGCAACAUUAUUUAUGGCCCAAAGAAUUUGUUAUACAUUCUGAUCAUGAAUCUUUGAAACAUAUUAAAAGUCAAGCUAAACUGAAUUGUAGAUGUGCUAAAUGGGUUGAAUUCAUUGAGACUUUCCCUUAUGUCAUUAAACACAAGAAGGGAAAAGAAAAUGUUAUUGCUGAUGCAUUGUCUCGUCGCUAUACUAUGGUUUCACAACUUGACUUCAAAAUAUUUGGUUUGGAGACCAUCAAAGAUCUAUAUGUGCAUGAUGCUGAUUUUAAAUAUGUAAUGCAGAAUUGUAAAGAAGGAAGAAUAUGGAACAAGUUCGGCGUUAACGAUAGAUUUGUGUUUCGUGCUAACAAGCUAUGCAUUCCAGCUAGCUCUGUUCGUCUUUUGUUGUUGCAGGAGGCACGUGGAGGAGGAUUAAUGGGACACUUUGGCGUGAAGAAGAUGGAGGAUGUACUUGCUACACAUUUCUUUUGGCCAAAGAUGAGACGGGAAGUUGAGCGUUUCAUUGCUCACUACACUACAUGUCAAAAAGCUAAGUCACGACUCAAUCCUCAUGGUUUACAUAUGGCUUUUCCUAUACCUAGUGUUCCUUGGGAGGAUAUAUCUAUGGACUUUGUUUUAGGUUUACCUCGAACAAAGAAGGGGGGAUAGCAUAUUUGUUGUCGUGGAUAGAUUCUCGAAAAUGGCACACUUUAUAUCAUGUCAUAAAAGCGAUGAUGCUGUUAAUGUUGCUGAUUUGUUCUUUCGUGAAAUUAUUCGCUUGCAUGGUGUGCCAAAUACUAUUGCUUCAGAUCGUGAUACUAAAUUUCUUAGCCACUUUUGGAGAUGUUUAUGGGCUAAGUUGGGGACUAAACUGCUUUUUAGUACUAAUUGUCACCCCCAAACUGAUGGACAAGCUGAAGUAGUCAAUAGAACAUUGUCUACUAUGCUUAGGGCUGUUUUGAACAAUAAUAAGAAAAUGUGGGAGGAAUGCUUGCCUCAUAUUUAAUUUACUUAUAAUCGUUCAUUGCAUUCUACUACUAAGAUGUGCCCUUUUGAAGUUGUGUAUGGUUUCCUACCUCGUGCACCUAUUGAUUUGUUGCCUCUUCCAUCUUCGGAGAAGGUUAAUUUUGAUGCUAAACAACGUGCUGAAUUGAUUUUAAAAAUGCAUGAGUUAACUAAGGAAAACAUUGAGCGUAUGAAUGCUAAAUAUAAACUUGCUGUUGAUAAGGGUAGAAAACAUGUUGUGUUUGCACCUGGAGAUCUUGUUUGGUUACAUUUGCGUAAGGAUAGAUUUCCUGAUUUGCGCAAAUCAAAGCUAAUGCCACGUGCUGGUGGUCCCUUUAAGGUGUUGGAGAAAAUAAAUGAUAAUGCAUAUAAACUUGAGCUGUCUGCAGAUUUUGGGGUUAGUCCCACUUUUAACAUUGCAGAUUUGCAGCCUUAUUUGGGUGAGGAAGAUGAACUUCCGUCGAGGACGACUUCAUUUGAAGAAGGGGAGGAUGAUGAGGACAUCAAUACAAUUGUUACAUCCACAGCCCCUGCUGCUAUACAUACUGGACCAAUUACUAGAGCUCGCGCACGCCAACUAAAUUACUAGGCACUUUCGUUUCUUGGUAAUGAUUCUAAUGUUCAUGAGAAUAUGAUGUUGCCUAAAUUGGAUACAUUUGUUUUGCUUACAAAUGAAGGGCCUAGCUUGGAGAAGGAUGAACAUUGGAGCAUGAACAAGCAUGGAGAUUAUGGCAUGCGCAAGGGGAACAAGAAUGGAGUUACAAGUGAUGAUUUCAGGACUUUGAAGUCACCAUAAUGGGUGCAUGAAGCCUUGGACGAAAUAUACAAGAUUCCACUUCAUACAUUUCGUCCCGAGUCUAUUCUAGGUGCUGCGUCACCUUAUUAUUGGGCCAGGCCCAUGUAAUUUCGAAAUACAUAAGUAUAGGCUAUUUUUAGAGUCCGUAUGUGUGGGGAAACAAGAGAUAGGGUUGAUUUCCGACCCCUCCACCAAGGGCCAUGAAAUUCCCCCCUCUUCCUCCAUAUAUACAGCCCUUAGGGCAUCAUUUAGACUUUGGGUUUUGUUUAGAUUAAAAGUUCGCCACAGCUGCAACUUCGCGUACUUCGUUUGUGUUCAACGACCAGACAAAGGCGUCACAGAACCCCACCUUGAUCAAUAAAGCUUUCAUCUUAUAUUCGCAACAUCCAGAUUGCAAUCUAAGUUUCUUGCUUGUUCGUCGUUUGCUCGCAGGAAACAGACCCUCGUGGUCAGGUUGAUCAUGCUGCGAUGUGGUCAAUAACCUCUUGGAGUUGGUUUAGUGAUGAGGACAUGACUACCUUGGAUGCGACCAAAAAUAUUGCAUACAUGCAUAUUUGUCAGGUGAUUUGUAGUGCAAACUAUUCAAUAAUCUAUUUAUGUUAUCCAUAACAAAAAUACUUCACACACUUUUGUGUUUUGUCUAAUUGCAGGUGUAUGGGACAUUUGUGAUAUUCACAUAUGAAGAUAAGGGAGAAUGAGAUGUUUAAGUCUUGUUCAAAAAGUUCUCUCACGUCACUUUUGGGCCAAGAGAAGAUAGAGUCCCAGUCUCUCACGUUCUGGAUUCAGCUACGGACUACACAAACAUACCUGACUCAAAAUGCCAACAACUUUUUCAAACGGACACCGAAUUGGGUGAUUCUUUUUUUGUUGGAAUCUAGAUUUUGUUCUCUUUCCAGCCCAGUUGGAUUCACCUUCAAAUUCGUCCGGAGCGUCAAGAUAUCGACGAAACAAUCAUACGCUGCACCAGAAUCCGGGUCAAACAACAAGUCCAAAGGUGUUACAUCACUUCCACUUGGGCCCAUGAGCCUUGUACGACCUAGGGUUGGUUUUAGGAUGCCUUGGAAUGUUCUCCCACCUCCUUGGCCACCACCCCUUGCUCUUAUAUAAGUAGAUCCGUCUAGUAGCUUUUUCCUUGGGAUUUGUUUAGUUAAAAGUUAGCCAUUGCAACUUCGUGUACUUCAUUUGUGUCCAACGACCAGACCAAGACCGCUUAUGGAUCCCCACCUUUAUCAAUACUUCAUCUAUAUUCGCAAUAUUCAGAUUUCUUUAUCAUAUUCUUGCUUGUUCUUCGAUUGCUUGCAGGAAUAGACCUUCGUGGUCAGGUUGAUUGUGCUUCGGCGUGGUCAAUAACCUCUCGGAGUUGGUUUAGCGAUUGCUAAGGCGCAACGUCGUGCACGUUUGUAGUCGAAUCGUCAAAGUCCUAUCCACCAAAUCGAUAGUUAUCAUCUCAUCGAAAAAUUGGGACACCUCCGACUCUAUCAAGUGGUAUCAGUUUUCAGGUUGCUCGGUGAGAAAUUCCUAUUUUUCCUAGAUUAGAUUUAUUUUCUUACCUAUUGUCCAAGAAAAAGCCACAAAAAAAGUUAGAUCUAUUCAUCCUUUGUCCAAUCCAGUCUGAGCCUUUGCAAUUUUCUUUUCAUUAUUUGCAUUAUUGAAUUAUCGGUUGCAUCGUCGUGUCGAGUUGCUGGUCUUAGUGUCUAGUUCCUUUAGAGUUUCAAGUUUUGUUCACAUUAGUCACGCCGCCGCUGCAUCAUUAUCCCUUCUGUUGUCCACCAUCCCAUCCGUCAAUUUCCACCACGUGUUGCGCACUGUUCAUUGUCAUAAUCAUAGUUGAGGUCAUUCACAUCUUCGCCUGAUCCAAUCUACAUCUUGUCUAAUUUGUCUUGGAAAGAGGGAGAAAAAAAAGAAAAAAAGGAAAAAAAGAAAAAAAAGGAAAAAAAGAGAAAGAAAAGGAAAAAAAGUGUGAGGACAAAAAAAAGAGAGAAGAGAAAAAAAAACAAAAUUCAGAUCUAUCUCGACUCAAUCUCGUAGUUGAAUUCCGACUGCAAUCUGUUUUGUGCACUGUUCAGUAAAACAGGCAUAAGUUCCUCAUACGAAGUCCGUUUUGGCUCCACAAGUACUCAAAUUAAAGCUAUCGACUAGACGCAUCUGAAUAGUUACAAAAGCUAUUUCAAUAUUUGGCGUCUCAAAAUCAACUUCUAAAUAGGUCUUUUUUCCCUCCGAAGUUCACGCAUACAGUUUGUUCCAGUUUUUCAGGCCAGUAUUAGAAUUCUUUGACUCCUCAUAUCAAUUCGGAAUUGAGUGAUUCUUUUUGCAUUCGAAAGCUUGAGUUAGUAGCAAACUUUUCAAGAGGAAAGUUGGAGAUAGAGUUGUUAUAUAUCCUGCUUGGUUGUUGUUAUUCAUCAUUAUCUUUACUACCGUUGUGAUCUUUACUUAUAUCUUGUUGUCCAGAGCUACGUAUCCUUCAUUGAUGCUAGUUGUGCUAUGUCGUGACCUCAUUAGUGUUCUAGGCUGGUGUCUCUAGUCCAGUCUAGCCUAGGACCAGUACAAUACCGUCGUUGAGCGUUUAUUCAACAUUGCAUCUUUGAAUUGAUUAUUGCUAAUUUUUUGCUACUAUAUAUAGCCAACCCAACUCCACAUAUUUCUACACCGUGUAUACAUACAUUCCCCUGGCAAUCGCUUUACACAAUCUUCGGAGUUAUUUGACACCGCUGGUUGCCUGUCACCACUUGUCGCAUGGUAAGAACUUGUAAGAUAUUGAUAUUCGCUUUACUGUGAGCACGUUACAACCACAUCCUAGUAGUUCAUAGGAACAUUAUUCUCGAAUGUUGUUUCUUGUUUCUACUAAUCAUGACAGGUUCCGGAGAAAGAAGUUCUUGGACGACGAACACAUCUUCACCAUCACGAGAGUUGGGACAACACACACAAACACAUGGUCAGGUUAUCUAGCACAUGGUCAGGUUAUCUCUUUGCACAUAUGACACAUGUAUAAGCACAUAUGUUGCUUAAUCUGAAGAGUAACUUUCAUAUAUCAUAAAAUAUAACGCGAAAAGAGAUAACCUGACCAUGUGCUUGUGCGUGUUGUCCCAACUCUCGUGAUGGUGAAGAUAUGUCCGUCGUCGAAGAACUUCUAUCUCCGGAACCUGUCAUGAUUAGUAGAAACAAGAAACUAAAUUUGAGAAUAAUGUUCCUAUGAACUACUAGGAUGUGGUUGUAAAGUGCUCACGGUAAAGCAAAUAUCAAUAUCUUACAAGUUCUUACCAUGCGGUAGGUGGUGACACGCAACCAGCGAUGUCAAAUAACUCCGAAGAUUGUGUAAAGCGAUUGCCAGGGGAACGUACGUAUACACGGUGUAGAAAUAUGUGGAGCUGGAUUGGCUAUAUAUGGUAGCAAAACAUUAGCAAUAAUCAAUUCAAAUAUGCAAUGUUGAAUAAACGCUCAACGAUGGUACUGUGCUGGUCCUAGGCUAGACCGGACUAGAGACGCGAUCCUAGAACACUAAUAAAGUCACGGCGUAGCACAACUAGCAUCAAUCAAGGAUACAAAGUAGCUCUGGACAGCAAGAUAUAAGUGAAGAUCACAACGGCAGUGAAGAUAAUGAUGAAAAACAACUGCCAAGAAGGAUAUACAACAACUCUCUCCAACUUUCCUCUUGAAAAGUUUGAGCCAAUUUUCUGAUAAAUUUUCAAAGAAUUCUACUAACUCAAGCUUUCCAAUGCAAAAAGAAUCACUCAAUUCGGAAUUGAUAUGAGGAGUCAAAGAAUUCUAAAACUGGCCUGAAAAAUUGGAACAAGUUGUGUUCACGAACUUCAGAGGGAAAAAAGACCUAUUUAGAAGCCGAUUUUGAGGUGUCAAAUAUUGAACUAGCUUCUGUAACCAUUUAGAGGCGGCUUGUCGCUAGCUUUAGUUGGAGUACUCACGGAGCCAAAACGGACUUCGUAUGAGGAGGAUACACCUGUUUUACUGAACAGUGCACAAAACAGAUUCCAAUCUGAAUUUGGGUACGGGAUUGAUUCUAGAUAGAUCUGAAUUUUUUUUCUUCUCUCUUUUUUUUCUCACACUGUUUUUUCUUUUAGUUCUCUCCUUUUCUUUUUCUUCUCUCUUUUUCUUUUUCUUCUUUCCUUUUUUUCUUUUUUUUCUCUACCUUUUUUUUCUCCCUCUUUCCAAGACAAACUAGAUAAGAUGCAGAUUGGAUCAGGCGAAGAUGUGAAUGACCUCAACUAUGAUUAUGAUAAUGAACAGUGCGUAGCAUAUGGUGGAAAUUGAUGGAUGGGAAGGUGGACAGCAGAAGGGAUAAUGAUGCAGCGGCGGCGUGACUAAUGUGAAUAGAACUCGAAACUCUAAAGGAACUAGACACUAAGACCAGCAACUCGACACGACGAUGUAUCCAAUAAUUCAAUAAUGCAAACAAUAAAAAGAAAAUUGCAAAAGCUCAGACUGGCUAGGACAAAGGUUGAAUAGAUCUACCUUUUUUUGUGGUUUUUUGUUGGACAAUAGGUAAGAAAAAUAAAUCUAAUCUAGGGAUGACUGGAAAUUCUCACCGAGCAACCUGAAAACUGAUACCACUUGAUAGAGGCGGGGUGUCCCGAUCUUUCAUGAGAUGAUAACUAUCGAUUUGGUGGAUACGACUUUGACGAUCCGACUACAAACAUGCACGAUGGUGCGCCUUAGCAAUCGAUAAACCAACUCCGAGAGGUUAUUGACCACGCCGGAGCACAAUCAACCUGACCAUGAAGGUCUAUUCUUGCAACCAACCGAAGAACAAGCAAGAAUAUGAUAAAAGCAAUCUGAAUGUUGCGAGUAUAUAUGAAGUAUUGAUAAAGGUGGGUAUCCAUAAGCGGUCUUGGUCUGGUCGUUGGACACAAACGAAGUACACGAAGUAGCAAUGGCUAACUUUUAACUAAACAAAUCCCAAAGGAAAAGCUACUAGAUGGAUCUACUUAUAUAGCAGCAAGGGGUAGCGGCCAAGGAGGUGGGAGGACGUCCCAAGGCAGCCUAAAACUAACCUAGGUCGUACAAGGCCAAUGGGCCCAAGUGGAGGUGACGUAACACCUUUGGACUUGUAGUUUUACUCGGAUUCUUCUGCAGCAUCAGAUUGUUUCGUCCAUAACUCAACGCUUCAGACGAAUUUUAAGGUAAUUCCAAUUGGUUUGGAAAGAGCACGAAAUCUCCUUUCCAACAAAAAAAGAAUCACCCAAUUCGGAGUCUGUAUGAAAAAGUUGUUGACAUUUUGAGUCAGGUAUAUCUGUGCAGUCCGAAUCUGAGUCCAGAACGUGAGAGACUUGGACUCUAUCUUCUCUUGGGCCAAAAGUGACGUGAGAGAACUUUUUGAACAGAAAAUAAACAUCUCUUUCUUCCUUAUCUUCAUAUGUGGAUUGUACAAAUGUCCCAUACACCUGCAAUUAGACAAAACACAAAAGUGUGUGAAGUAUUUUUGUUCUGGAUAACAUAAAUAGAUUAUUGAAUAGUUUGCACUAGAAAUCACCUGACAAAUAUGCAUGUAUGCAAUAUUUUUGGUCAUAUCCAAGGUAGUCAUGUCCUCAUCACAUUCCUACAAAAAAAAUUCUGCCACUUAUACUUUAUGUUAUGAUAUUCUAAUCAGAUUGGAUGGCAAAGAUUUCUCAUUUUAUCUCCUUUCUAUGAAUGUAUUAAAGCCUUAAUAUAAUAUAAUAUACUAGAAAGUUUGACUUUACUUUUAUUUAGAAUAGUGUGCUUACUUUAAUUUCUCAGAAUAAUUUGAGGGUUCUUUUUUAUUUCGGAUCGGAGUAGUAUAAUAUCUAGAAAAUUCAGUAUUUCAUUGUGGAAUUCUAAAAUAAAGUAAGUCCCUUUUUUAAGUACAUGCCAAUCUAGUUAUCCACCUCUCCCCAUAUCCAUGCUUUUCUUUUAUCGUAAUUUCACUUAGGUAGGCCAAGAUAGUCAGGUUAUACUCUAUAUCAGAGCAAAUUUCCUUUUUUAUUCAAGAUAUUUAAUUUAAUACUUUGAAAAAUUAAAGCAUGAUUCUCCAUAGAGAUAUGUACAUAAAGGGGAUCUUUGGAUAAUAAUGCUGUUUGGACCUAAAGUUUACCUAUACACGGAUUAAGCAUAAGGCCAUAAUAUUUUAUUAUGCCAUUGAAGGGGGGGGGAAGAUAAUACCGAUUUAAGAGUAGUACACUACUGCAAUAAAAAAAAGAAUUCUAGUUAACGGUUCCAAUUUGUUCUGAAUUUUGCGGCCUAUGAAUAGUAAUCCAAUUUUUCUUCUUUUUCAUCUCAAUAGAAAGAAAUGGGAAGUUUUAUUGUGUUAACAAUGUAUGUUUUAAGAUAGAAUCUAUUGAGGAGAAUAAUAGAAACUGGAUCAAAAAAAGCAGGAAUAGAUUUUUUGAAAAAGAUUGGAAAAAAGUAAGUAGAAUUAUAUUCAAAAUAAAAGAAAGGGUCUUUUCGUAAGAAAACGUGCAUGAAUACUUGCUGUUUUCUAGAUUUUUGAUCGGAUUUUUUGGCGGCAUGGCCAAGCGGUAAGGCAGGGGACUGCAAAUCCUUUAUCCCCAGUUCAAAUCUGGGUGCCGCCUGAUCAAUAAAAUACUUAGGGUUUUUUAUAGUGUUGAUCGAAUUCGAUAAAUUUUUACUUCGCAUAAGUUCGGGCAAGAGAGUAACUAGGCCUGCCGAUACUGGGUUUAGAGAAACCAUACCAUAGUUCUAUCCUCAAAGUAGGGUUAGGAUUUGUUUUGACGGUAGUGGCCAAAAUGGUUAUUAAUAGGAGUGAGGUAGCUUUUCCUUAUUCUUUUAUUAUAUGAAUUUGAAUUGGUUCUUAAUUGUGAUUCCAUUUGAUAAUUUUAAAAUACGAGGAUAAGAUGUCAUAUAUCUUGGUAUCCAAAGAAAGGUCCCUAAGGGGCAUUCUUUUUUUUCAAUCUAAGAUUCAAGAAGGGACUCCAUGAAAGAAUAUCAAGACUUACUAAUUAUUAUACAUUUUUUAUCGUACAUCUUAUGUUACCUACAUACACUAAAGUAAGGACUACUUAAUUCUAACGAGAAUCAGAUUAAAUAGCUCGAUGAAAAAUCAGUUUAGGAGUUGUGUUAUGGAUAAAGUCUCUUCAUUCUUUCAUAGAAUGAUACAAAGCAAGGUUGUAGGGUUUAGGUCAAAAAUAAACAUAGGUAAGGUAGGUAUCCAAUAAAUAUUUAUCUAUCGAUAAUUUUAUGGUAUAUUCGGGCAUCCUUUGCUUAAAAAAAGAGUAACAAAAGGAAUAAAAAAUCUUCCUAUUCCCGCUUCUUCUAUGCAGGACAUCAUUCCCGUACUCUUUCUUUUUUAAGGAAAAAAGGGCUAUAGUAUCGUAUUUUUAAUGCUCUCUAAUUCUACCAGAAUUCCUAUAAGAAUUUGUUAGGAGUAAAUUCCUUGAACUGAUUGAUCCAUGGCCUUAGGGCGGAAUCCCUUUUGACUCUGUACCCUUGAUUCCACUAUGAUUAUUUAUCAAUAGUACAAUAAUCCCUUCAUAGAAAUAGGAGACAUAAUUUAGAUGGAUAUAGUAAGUCUCGCUUGGGCUGCUUUAAUGGUAGUCUUUACAUUUUCUCUUUCACUAGUAGUAUGGGGAAGAAGUGGACUCUAGGGAUACUACUAAUUGAUUAAGUAAUCAAAUUGUUGUAUCAAUUCUUUUCUUUAACAUUUCGCAUUAAUCAUUUUGUCAAAUGUUAUUCUUUAAUCUAUUUCUUUAGUUUUGUUUCACUCCUGUAAGAAACUCUUGUAUUGUAAGUUGUAAGAAAGAGCCAUUAUACCAAUUCAGAAUUUCAACUAGAAAUGACGAAUGGUACAAAAAGUUCUAUACAUAAGAAAAUUAGACCUUCUUCCAUGGAACUAUUCACGGCAUAUCACACAUUUUCCAUUUCCUUUUACUUUUUACUAUAGUCUAUUCUUACUAUUAUUUUUCUUUCCUUCCAUGGAUUCUUUGGUCAAGAAUUGUCUUAAUUUUUUUUAUUUUGACCUGAUUGAAAUUAAGUGGAUGCAAUGAAAAAAGAAAUUGAAUUAGACUACUUAACUAUUUCAAUCUACUAAUCUAUUCUAUUCUACGUAGAUUCAAAGAUAAUAUAAUAGAAAGAAUCUAAAGUGUCGUAGAAAAAACUAUAUGUAGUUCUUUCUACCACACUUUAAGAUUCCAACCAGAUCCUUUCAUUUAAGACUUGGAUUUUUUUAUUUAAUCCCUUUUUAAUUUCUUCAAUGAUUAAUUGGAAUUCCAAUUAAUUAUUUUGGCUGACUGUUUUUACAUAAAUAAUAAGUAAAAAAGAAGUAGGAACUAGAGUAAACAGUGCAGUAGCAAUAAAUGCGAGAAUAUUGACUUCCAUAACCUCUUUAUUUUUUAUUUUCACAAUAACUCGGGAUGUAAUCCCAUGGAGAGGAAAAAGGGGUAUCUUGUAAAUUCAAGGGUAGGGCUUGCAUUCUGAUAAUACUGAAUCAAUUGAAUAUUAUGAAUAUUGGAUCUAUCAAAUCAAUUCAUGGAUAAGAGUUAUAUUUCACGGAUGAGAGUUAUAUAGUAUAACAUAGGAAGAUCCUCUAUCCACACUAAGACCAAAAUGGGUUUUUUGAUUGGAUUAGGAAUUCCCUCUUUUUUAAUCCUUUUCUACUUUUUCUUUUCUAUAUCUCUAACCCAUGAGCUUUCUUAAUCUUAUACUUUCUUAAUCUUAUACAAUUUCCCUUCCUUUUUCUUAUAGUUAUACACACAAUUAUGUAUGUAUUAUAUGACCAACUUUCUAUGGGUCACAUAGACAUCCAAAUAAGCAGUAGAAGUGAGAUGGGGAAAAGAGGUCUGAAAUAAAAAGGGAAUAUGAUUUAUGUAUGGAUUCCGGUAAAAUACCGGUACUCUAUUCCAUAAGAGUGGAAUAGGAAAUUAAGAUGAGGAUGGUAUCAUCAUAAAGAAAGAUAGAGUAAUAUAAUAUCCUAAAUUCUACUAAUCCACAUAUCGUAUGUGUGUCUUUCUUUAUCUUUAUCGAUCGGGAGUAGUGAAAAAAAUUCUUAUACGCCUUCCCUGCCUCUUUCAUGAGAGAUGCAAAAUAAAAAAGUGAAGUAAGGGUGCCCUAUGGGUAUUUAAUCUUCCUCCCUGCCCCUUUUUUCAUGGCAAAAGGAAAUAUAAAUUUCUCCAUUCAUUGAACCCUAGUUCGGGACUGAUGGGGCUCGAACCCGCAGCUUCCACCUUGACAGGGCGGUGCUCUGACCAAUUGAACUACAAUCCCCGCGGGGUGUAUGGCAUACCCAUUCUUAAAUAGAACCAUAAGAAGAUUCGAUUCGUCUUUCGUACUCUAAGAAAUGGACGAAUCAUAUACUACAUACCCACAUAUUAUACGCGGGUAUAGUGAGAGUGACAUAACUAGUAUGUCGUGAUUUUUUAUCAGUAAAAAUGGAUAAUAAUCCAACCUUCAAUAAGAAAAACUCUUUUGUUUGUAAGCAAAGAAUGAGAGAGAUAUGGAUUAGAAAAAAAUCCCUUUUUUCUUUAUCUUUUAUUUCUAUAGAUCAGACAUUUUGUUUUCUGGAAGAAAAACAAAAGGAUUUAGUUCAUAUUCACGAAGCCCUAGAUUUUUGGUUUGGGCCGAGCUAGAUUUGAACCAGCGUAGACAUUGUCAACGAAUUUACAGUCCAUCCCCAUUAACCACUAGGGCAUCGACCCAGGAAGAAUUUAUUCUAGGGUUUUUGCUAAUCUAUGAUUAACCUCCUUUCAUAAUACUCCCUACCCCUAGGGGAAGUCGAAUCCCCGCUGCCUCCUUGAUAGAGAGAUGUCCUGAACCACUAGACGAUAGGGCCAUAUACAACCGCUCGUGAUUAUACUCUAAUCAUAGUAUGAGCAGUUUUUUGGAAUUGUCAAUAUACUCGGAAAGUAUAAAUAGAUCCAAAGCAAAGAGUUUUUCCAACUUUUCUGUUAUGUUUUCAUCUAGGAUUUUUUUAGUUGAUUGUUAUAGAUUAAUUCUCCGUGCUUCAUUUAGUGUUCAGACCAAAAAUGCAUCCAUCCCGCACUAAGUCAUAAAAUUCUCUAAAAAUAUAGAGAAAGUUUCAAAAACAAAGAAAAAAGUGAAUCAAUUUAGUAGAAAAGUACUCUAUCAGAUUCGAACCAAUGACUUAUGUCUUAGCACGAGAUUACUCUACCACUAAUUUAAAAAUCCCUUUAUCGGAUUUGAACUGAUGACUUAUGCCUUACCAUGGCAUUACUCUACCACUGAGUUAAAAGGGCUUUUUAUUUAAUUCAAAAAUUAGCCACUUGGAUUUCCCAUUAUGGGUCCACUGCAUAAUGUACAUAUUAUAUAUAUAAUAUAUAGAGAUAGAGAGAGAGACAUUAUGUAGAUAUUGUAUAUGUAUAUAUCGAUAUUUUGAGAGCUCAAAAUAAAAUUAAUAAAAAACAUACCCUACAUAACAUAUCCAACUCUUCUUGGUUCAGGGUUUUCCGUUUCUGAAGACUAGUAAAAUAGGCGGAUUCUGGAACCCCAAGGAUUCAAUGGUAUACGGAUAUGGAAAAUAUAAGAUUUCCGAUCCUAGCGGGAAAAGGCGGGGAACAGAUACCCAAUAGGAUAUAGGAUCCUUGGGAGGAACUUUUGGUAAUGGCCUUGAUCCUCUAUGCUAUUUUUUAUUUGUUCUUAGUUCUAUUGAACUUUUUUCAUUCUUUUAAACAAGAAUCUAAUAAACUAGAAUUGAGUCAGUGGAAAAAGGAGAGAGAGGAAAGUGUUACAUGGAGAGAGUCGACUAAUCAGAGACUUUUAGGAUCUUCUUUACAUCAGGUAAAUUUGUCGUCCCUGUCCGUUUUUUUCUUUAAGUUACGACUCUUUGCUGCUUACUUCUAUCAAGCCAUAGGGAAAGUCUAUGAUGAAUUUGGAAAACUCAUCUCACUCUUACUCUAUGGCUCGGACUUAAUGGGGGAAGAAAACAUCUUCCAGAAUUUCUUUUUUGUUCAAUUCUGGACAAAAAAGAAAAGGAAAAAAGGAAUUUAUAGGGACAGUGUUACCCCCUAUAUCCCCCAGUUUAUAUUGUAGGAAUAAUAAAACAAUUUAGCAGUCUGACACACUUACGUCCUUGCAAAGUAAAUAAUUAUUAUUGUAGUCGUAACCGUAGAAUAGGAUCCUAAUCAAAAUAAAUACAUUUGGUUCAGGCGCUAUUAGCAUGGUAAGAAAAGAUUUUUUUUAUAGACCAGAGGGGCUAUCUAAAUCCUAAAGUAAAGGCGAGCGAUCGAUUAUAAGUACCAACGGCUCGGUGUCAUGAACCUUCUCCAUCUGAUUCAAUAAGGGGGAAUUAGCCUUCUUGUCAAAUGGCUAUCCUUGACAAAGGGUACCAUUUAUACCAUAAUCUACAAUGUAGCGGGUAUAGUUUAGUGGUAAAAGUGUGAUUCGUUCUAUUAAUAACUGAAUUUGAAAUGAUAUACUUAAGGCAUCCUUAAGUUUUUUAUUUUUAUAUUAUGAUGAAAACAUUAGUUCUCAUAAAGGAUUAAAUCCUUUUCCUCUCAAUAGCAUAUUGAGGAAGAAUAUACAUUAUGGCGAUUUGUAUCCAAAGACUAGUUAAAUUCAAUCCAAAAUAAGAAUUGGAUUAAGAGUACAGAGUCGCGAAGCAUAAUUUUGCAUUGGAUUAAGUAUUCCAAUUUUGAAAAUUUGAGUAAAGGAUCUAUGGAUGAAGAUACAAAAAAGUUGAUUUCCAAUCGUAACUAAAUCUUCUUAAAAUAAGGAAUAAGGAAGCCAAAUAGCUAAAAAACGAUAGUUUUGGUUUAAUAGAACCAUCCGUAUAUUGUUUUAGCUCGGUGGAAACCCAAUUCUUUUCCUCAAGAUCUCUUGAAUGAAAUUAGGGAACGAAGUAAGUGGAUUAGAUCGAUUUAGAUAGAAUUUCUAUCUCCUACUCUAUAAGGAUCAUAUAGAAAGCCGAGAGCUUUGGUUCCAUUCAAAUAGAAAAGCUGACAUAGAUGUUAAGUGGUGAGAAUAUCCAUAAAGGAGACGAAUGAAAUCAAAAUAUCAUGUUCGGUUUUGAAUUAGAGACGUUAAAAAUAAUCAACCAACGUCAACUAUAAGCCCUAGCCUUCCAAGCUAAUGACGCGGGUUCGAUUCCCGCUACCCGCUCCAUUCUGUAUAAAAGGAGUAUUCUAUUUGUCUAGACAUGUUAGAGGCUUGUAUUCAAGCCUUUUUUGUCCACCAGUUUCUGGUACUCCAGAGCGGAGGAGAGCAGUUUGGUAGCUCACGAGGCUCAUAACUUUGAGGUCACGGGUUCGAUUCCCGUCUCCGCACUUAGCAGUCUGUAUAAAAGGACUAUUCUAUUUCUCUAUAUAUGGUAGAGGGGCAUAUCCAACCCUUUUUUUAUUCAUUAGCUCCCGGCCCUAGAGGGCAAAAUUGAGCAAUUUACGAAGUCACUUGCCUUCAAAAAAGGAAGGCGCAAGGCUUCUCCCUACCCUGCAGAAAAUAAAAAUGAAACGAAAGGGACAAUCUACCUCUCCCUUCCCUUUAAAAACAGUUUGCCCGUUGUUUGUCCCAGUUAAUACCCAAUUUUUGGAGCUCUAUUGGUGAGUUCUAUUUCUGCCUCCGGAGCGCCCUCUUUUUUGAAUGGGAUGCAAAGGAAGGGUGAGAUAGUAAGGGAUACGGCACUAGACUAACACCUAAUUAAUACUUAAUUUAAUAUAAGUAGUUAAACAGUUAACUAGACUAAACUUUUUAUCAUAGUACUUUGAGAAAUUAAGCGGGCGAGCGGUGGGAAUCGGACCCGUAUCUUCUCCUUGGCAAGGAGAUAUUUUACCAUUGAACUACGCUCGCUACGGUAUAUAUUUUAUAGUGUAUAUCCGCCUGGGUCGACCUUCUAUGUCUGGGUCGACCGUUUCAUUUCAUUUUCUAUUAUAUUAGAGUUUUCCUUUUUUUACUAUCUGUCAAUGAAUAUUCUAAUGGGAAUGGAAUUUCAUAAUACUGAAAGAGAAAAGCGAGCAAUUCGGAACGCAAAUUGCAUUUUAAUACGUCUCACUAUUCUAAUUUUUUUAGAAGAAAUGGCCUUUAUUAUUUCUUUUUUAUGGGGUUAAUAAAUAUUAACCAAAUUUAAUUUAAGAAAUGAGAGAAUUCAGAAUAGCUACGAGAAAGACUAGUCCAAUCCAUAAUGAUGUACCAAAAAAUACAACAUUUUUAUUAUUUGACCAACCAUCAGGAGAAGCAAAUACAAGGGGUACACUAAUUACUAAGACUGAGGAAGUCGCAAUUAAUGCAAAAACAGCUAAUUGGAAAGCAACAGUCAUAUUUCUAAUCCUGCAAGCCACCAUCAAAUAAAGUUGACUACAUAUUUGAUCCCUCACUUAACCAAAAUUGUAAAAAAAAUACAAGAAGUAGGAGGGGUUUAAUCAUGAAUCCAUUGAUUCUUCUCUUUAAUUCAAAUUUAUUACUUAAACCGCUUUUUUAUUUGGAUAUGGGGGUGAGAAGAGAUUAUUUACUCUUUAUUUCAGAAGCAGGUAUAUCGUAUCUUGUAUCCGUGUAUACAGUAUACAGAGAUAUAUCGAAAAGGAACUUGUAUCUGAUAUCUUUCUAGAGGCUAAUAAAUCUUUUUAUUUUUUAUAUGGCUAUGUUCUAUUUGUAGGAGUAAAAUAAGGAUUAGGCCGUGGAGAGAUGGCUGAGUGGUUGAUAGCUCCGGUCUUGAAAACCGCUAUAGUUCUAGGAACUAUCGAGGGUUCGAAUCCCUCUCUCUCCUUUUGCUUAUUGAAUACGUUUGUUUCUUUCAUUUUUUUUUCUGUCCCUUAUCUUUCUUUCAUAAAAAGGAAUGAAUGGCUCGGCUAGAUGGAAUAACCGAGCCAGAACAGAAAAAAAGUAGAACAGGUAUAAAUAAGAAAAUCUUAGUUAAGAGGGUUCAUGUAAAGAACAGGUUCCAAAUCACGAUCGAUUCCCUUUUCAAAACCUACUGCAGCAGCUCAGGCUCUUCCUGCAUGCCAUAAAUGGCCCACAAAAAAGAAGAAUCCUAGAACAAAAUGAGAAGUUGAUAACCAACUUCUAGGAGAGACAUAAUUAACUGCAUUGAUCUCGGUAGCUACGCCACCCAUGGAAUUUAAAGAGCCUAAAGGAGCGUGGGUCAUAUAUUCUGCUGAGUGUCGUUCUUUCCAAGGUUGUAUGUCUUUUUUCAACCUACUCAAGUCCAAACCGUUGGGGCCCCUUAGAGGUUCUAACCAUGGAGCACGAAGGUCCCAAAAACGCAUAGUUUUCCCUCCAAAGAUAACCUCCCCAGUUGGGGAACACAUUAGAUAUUUACAUAAACCCGUGGGUCCUUGAGCGGACCCCACAUUAGCUCCAAGACGCUGGUCUCUAACUAGAAAAGUAAAUGCUUGAGCUUGAGAAGCUUCUGGCCCGGUGGGUCCAUAAAACUCACUCAGAUAAGCUGUAUUAUUGAACCAUACAAAACAACAAGCGAUAAAACCAAAGACAGAUAAAGCAGCUAAACUAUAAGACAAGUAAGCUUCUCCAGACCAUACAAAUGCACGGCGAGCCCAUGCAAAGGGUUUGGUUAAAAUAUGCCAAAUUCCACCAAAUACACAAAUAAAACCCAACCAUACAUGCCCACCAAUUAUAUCUUCUAAAUCAUCUACACUAACAAUCCACCCUUCUCCACCAAAAGGAGAUUUUAGUAAAUAACCAAAUAUAACACUGGGACUAAGGGUCGAAUUGGUAAUUUUUCUUACAUCUCCCCCCAGGGGCCUAGGUAUCUUAUACACCGCCAAAAUAAAGAGCCUUGAGUACUAGAAGAAAAGCACCUAGACCUAACAAAAUUAAGUGAAUACCCAAAAUUGUAGUCAUUUUAUUUCUAUCUUUCCAGACAUAAUCAAAGAAUGGAAAAGAUUCCUCAAGAGUCUCGGGUCCCAGAAGCGCGUGAUAAAUGCCACUGAAGCCUAAGACUGCGGAGGAAAUUAGGUGAAGUACGCCAGAUACAAAGUGCGGAAAAGUAUCUAGAACUCCCCUCUGGCCCUACUCCCUAACCUAGAGUAGCUAAGUGUGGAAGUAAAAUCAACCCUUGUUCAUACAUGGGCUUUUCUGGUACGAAAUGGGCCACUUCAAAUAGGUUCAUUGCUCCGUCCUAGAAUACGAUUAAUCCGACAUGGGCUACAUGAGCUCCAAGUAGUUUACCGGACAAAUUGAUAAGUCUGGCAUUCCCAACCCACCAAGCAAAGCCGGUGGUUUCUUGGUCACGACUAGCUAAAACGAAAGUUCCAUUAAAGAGCGUUUCCACGUGGUAGAACCUCCACAGGGAAUAUAAGAUUUUCAUGAGGCUGAUCCUGAGCUGCCAUCCACGCACGAAUACCCUUGUUUAAAAUUCAGGAUCUUCUGCUGCACGGAUUUCCUAGGAAACAAAGUCAUAGGCACGUAAGUUCAGAGCCAAGCCAACUACGCCAAUAGCACUCAUCCAUAAACCGAUGACGGGUACAAAUAGCAUAAAGAAAUGUAACCAACGUUUAUUGGAAAAAGCAACACCAAAGAUUUGGGACCAAAAGCGGUUAGCAGUGACCAUUGAAUAAGUUUCUUCAGCUUGAGUUGGGUUAAAAGCACGGAAGGUAUUUGCACCAUCACUGUCCUCAAAUAGAGUGUUUUCUACGGUCACUCCAUGAAUAGCGCAUAGCAGAGACGCACCUAAUACUCCGGCAACUCCCAUCAUAUGAAAUGGGUUCAACAUCCAAUUAUGAAAUCCUUGGAAGAAAAGGAUGAAUCCAAAUAUCGCUACUACGCCAAAACUCGGCGCAAAGAACCAACCAGAUUGCCCCAGUGGAUAAAUAAGGAAUACAGAAACAAAAACAGCAAUUGGACCAGAGAAUGAGAUUGCAUUAUAAGGCCGCAAUUGAAUAGACCGAGCAAGUUCAAAUUGGCGUAACAUGAAACCUAUUAGUGCAAAAGCCCCAUGGAGAGCUACAAAAGUCCAUAGACCGCCUAAUUAACACCAACGAGUAAACUCUCCUUGUGCUUCGGGCCCCCAUAGUAGCAACAAAGAGUGUGCUAAACUAUUUGCAGGGGUAGAAACUGCUGCGGUUAAGAAAUUACAACCUUCCAAAUAGGAACUAGCCAAUCCAUGGGUAUACCAAGAAGUUACAAAAGUUGUCCCUAUAAACCAACCCCCUAAAGCGAAAUAAGCACAAGGAAAGAGCAAUAGGCCAGACCAUCCUACAAAAAUGAAACGGUCCCUUCGUAACCAGUCAUCCAUAGUAUCAAAUAGAUCAUUUUCUUCUUUAGGAAUUCUACCAAGGGCUAUAGUCAUAGUGAUCCUCCUAUUCAAUUACUUCAACCAUUUCCGAGCACCUCAUAUCACUUUCAAAGGCAUAUGAUAGUUUUAUCAUCUGUGGACGAUUUCUUUGUCGUUCAAUGCCCUUUUUCAAUGGUCUCGAAGAGACAAAUUUCCCAUUUUUAUCUAUGGAGUCACAGCCGAGGUCGUGGUAAAUCCAUGAAUUUGAUUCGAUUUGUUUUUCUUAUACUAUUUGUUUUUCUUAUACUAUAGAAAUAGAAAUCUUUUUUUAUUAUACUAUAGAACGAAAUAAACCUUUGAAUUCAGCAUUAUUCCAAGACUCCUAUUUCAAAGUAUAUCUUUUAAGGGAAAAAUGAAAAUAAAAGUAACUCUUCUUUUCCCAUUCCCUCUCUAUUGCAUGGUUGGAA